AAACAACAGAAACCACAGGCAUUGUUUAGGCGGUUCUUUGAUGUAGUUCACCCGUGAAUAUAAACUCUGUGAGCCUUGUGGGAUGGUUUUGGGCUAAAAGGGGCUUGAGACUGGUUUGUUGGGUGCCUUAUAAAAACACUUCACAGACGUUUCCCUUCCCAUCCUUUCUUUAUUAAUGUGUGUGCCCUGCAGAAAAGGUGCUUGUACUCUUGGCUCCCAAGAUUAAGCCCCUUUUACUGCAUGAAUAACAAUUGGUAUCCACGAUUUGUACAUACUUUGAGCACCUUAAAGGAGAUAAGUCCAGGUCCAGGCCCUGUUUGACCUGUAUUACACAUUCGCAUCUUGGUUUUUGCUGGCCUUGUCAGGAAUGAUGUGUUGCUGGUGUUGGAGUCAGGAGUGGGACUGUGGUGGCAACGCUGGGUCGGUGGCGAGGAAGGACAAGGGGCAAUUUGGCACCUGGGCUGUUUGUGUGUUUGGGAGUGCGUGGGGAGGACUAGUCUGUGAUGCUUGGGAAUAAAUUUAGCCUGAUACUUAAGUACCAGCUCCCAGGAAAUUGCCAUCAGAGUAAUUAGCGUGCACUGACUUAUUUGUACAGUGAUAACAGCAGGAAAGUAUUGAAGCAGGAAAAACAAACACAUUAUUCAUCUGAACCUUCAAUCCACAGCCUUUACCUGACAGUUCGCUAUUUGCGAUACGCAGAUCUAUUUUUAGGCUUCCAAGUCAGGUGGGCUCCUUUUUCUUUGUUUGUUUUGUGUUUUGUUUUUUUGUUUCUUUUUUUUUUAAUUUUGCUGACAUAAAUUGGAAAAUGAAUCUGUGCCUAGAGAUAAUAAACAAAUGCAUUUUUAAAAUAAAUCUUUUGAAUGCCAAAGAGUGUUUUCUGUGGAAGUGCUGAAGCGUUGGCACAAGGCUCUUGAAACAUGUGCCCUUGCAAGUGGGAUGAAGAUGCUGCACACGGCAGCCGGGGUUGGCAGGGGUUGCUCUCUGUGGAUGCAGCUCUGGAUAUUGGAGUGAAAUCCCUGUUUCUAUCAGAAGUAUUUGGUGUGACCAUGAGCAUCUUCUUUAGUCCAGGUUUCUCUGCUUAGUGGCAAGCGUUGCUUAGCCAGCCAGAUGAGAAUUGCCCUUCAAGAUGUGAGCAUUGAGGAGAAGGUUUAGUAACUCGGAAAGUAAAUUAUUAAUGAGAGGCUGAGGGAGAAGAAUGACACAGGGUCACAGGAGUUUGUGGUCAUGAGGCAUCCAAGGAGGAUGUUUGGGGAAAGGCGUCCUUGUGUGUGUGAGUACUCGGAAGAGCUGGUAGAGAGCAGGAGACGUUUGGAAACAGAAAAAAAGAGUGGGUGCGGAGAAAUAUGUGGAUUCACCUUGGAAUGGAAAAAAUCGGGAUGGAAGCAUUUGCACUGCCCUUCCUUUCCCUUCCUUCCGUCUCCUUCUUAGGGCAGUGUCACCCCCAGCCACCCAAAGCAGCCAACACCCUGAUUCCCUGCCAGGCGCUUGUGCUAAAUCCUUUGAAAACUACUCUUCUCCUUUGGCAAUUAGAAAUAAAUAAAAAGGGUUAGAGCAAAAGACAGACUGUCUGCAGAGGAAGAGAGCUGAGGAGCCCCAGGGUUUCUCCUGGAGAUGGGUUUUGUGAACAGAUGAGGAAGUCACCAGGCAAAGCACCUUCCACAGCCAGCAGCUACAUCACAGGCACCCCUAGUCGAAAAUGCAGUACAGAUAAAUCAGAGUUAAAGCGCCUUUUUUAAAUACCAAAGACUUCUAAGUAUUCAAGCCAGCCAUCAAAAAGGUGAGUUAGCAUCUCUAUCUUGAGAUGUUUGCAUGGAGCCUGCAUGCCUCCCUGGAAGGUGGGGCAAACACCAGCAAUACAGCCCAAACCAAAGGCAAAUGAGUGAAACUUGUGACCUCCCUUAAGCAAGAUUCAGCCUGGGUGACCCAGUGGUUCUAAAUGUCUUAGGAAGUGAUUCAGUGCUUUGCAGCCCCAAAAGUUCAUCCCCAUCCCUAAGCUCCCGCUGUAUUUUCCAGCCACCAUGUGCAAAUCCAGGGCUGGAAAAGGCUGGAUUUUCACUGCAGCCUCCAGGUUUCUUAGGGAGUAAGAGCAGCUCCUUGAUUUUUAUGCUAUACAUUAAUUCACAGUGGGGCUGCACAUUUUAAGCUCUGAGGAAAGAAGAGACAGAUGAGGGCAGGUAUUGCAAAUGCACAACCAUAAACCAACACCAUGGUGAUGAAAACUUCAUAAAACGAGCCAGGAGCUGGGAUUGGCUUUUUGUUUGCAGGAAGGACUAGACCAGGGCAUUUGCAUCCUUAGGGUUUUUCAGCUGAGGGACCAUGUCCUGGGAGAGGCUUUUGAGGCUUAGAGGAACCCAGCAGAUGUGAAAAUCCUGGAGUUGAGAAGCACAAAGGAGACCUGGAAGCCUAAACAUGAUUAACAUCAGUGGGCGUUUCAGUGCGGCAGAGCUGGGACCUUCAUUCAUUUAGCUCUAAGUGCCUUUAGUCCAUAGGCAUGAACCUUCUUAUGCCUGUUCAGCCUGUGCCAGCAGAAAAAAUAUGGUGUGACAACAAUACAAGAAGCGCAAAAUCAUCGGCAUUUAAAAACAGAUUUAAAAAGUUUAUGUGCAUAAUAUGCAUAUCUGUGCAUACGUAAUGUUAUGUAUUUAAGACUACUUCUAUAUAUCUGUGACUUUUAAAGCUUUCUGUGGUUUAGAAACACCUCUCAACCUAUAAAAUUCAGAUAGUGUCUCCUCUGUUAAGGAAGGAAGGCAAAAUAUUGAUGUUUAUGAUUUCACGUGACUCCAGAAGCCACAGCUUUUGACAAGUGCACCAAAUCUUGAGAGACUGGGUGUCUUGAGAGACAGUGUGGGUCUGGAUGAAGUUGCAUGGUCUCGACCUUCUGUGUUACUUGCUGACCUUCAUAUUGAAGGAAAGAAACCCAAGACAAAACAGCCCUUUCCAGCAGCAGAGCCAGUGAAGCUGUGUGUUACGGGUUGUGCUCACAAGUUUUUAAGUAUAGCUGUGUCCUCGCUUCAGGGAGAACAGUUGUGGGAGGGAUCAGGUAAACGCCGUCAUCUGCGGAUCUCAGACUGGCCUCUCGCUAGCCUUAUCAUAACCUUGAUGGGGGUUGUGGUGGCUUCCCUUUUGAUGAUGGUGAUGAUGUAUCAUUAUUGCUGCUGCUGGAGACAGUUUUGGCAGGCCUUCAUUCCUGAUAUAGGUUAAUUAGCCUCCCACUUCCACCUUUUCUUCCCUGCCCUCUUCCUAAGCCAUUAAGACAAAGUGUGGUCAGAAGUAAUUCAUAUUAAAAUAUUUAGAGCCUUUUAAUGGCAGAUGCUGGAGAAACAAUUCUGUAAUCCUGUAGGCUUCACAGCAUUUGAGCUGAGUUUCUUCAAAACACCUGUAUUAAUAUAGCUUGGAGGAACAUGGAUCAGCAGAAAUUAAUAGGUUUUCUUUAACAGCUGCUUUUACAAAUGCACCCAGCUCUGAUCCAUAUCUCAGUCAUCCCAGCACUGCUCCUCCAACUUGCUUUUCUGACCUCUGCUUUAGGGACAUCAAAGACGACAAUUUGGGGAUCCCCAAACUAUCCCCUUGCUAUCUCUUCAGCUUCAGGGAGCCACAGAUUUGCUGAGAAGAUGUGGAUCUGCUAACCAGUUUUUGAGCGAUGGGCAGUCUGCUCUAUUGCCUGCACUCUUCUAUAUGAUCCUCCUGAACAUCGUCUCUAGCCUGGAGGUAUGAUUUGAUAUUUAUCCUUGUGGCCGCUGUGUGAGAGAGCAGGCCAUUAGCAGAUGGGCACUGAGGCACAGGCUAAUUGAAUUGCUCCUGACAUAAGCUGGACCACAGGGAAGGAGAGAAAAAAGGCUCCUGGUCCUGUUGGUCUUACAUGAGGUUUCAGUCCCAGUCUGCAGGCAUCGUAGCUCCGGGCUAAAUCACAACCCUGUCUGGGAAAACACAUUAGCUGCAUCCAAAGCAGAGGAGCCCAGCAGCCCUCAGGUAGCUUGUUGGAAAAAAACUACCAGUAACGUGUGAACUCUCAAAAAGGAGGAAUGAAAGAACGCUGUCAAAACACAGCUGGUUUUCACUGGCUUUAACUGCUGUUUUAACAAGCUCAGCAAGUCACCAUGCUCCAAUAAAUGACUGUCCUCUUGCUUGCUGCAGUGUGACACCCGUGAAGGCGUCCCUGGCUUGUCCCCACCAGCCGGGAUGGCAGGACCAUGUUCCAAGGUGGGGAUUUCUGAUAUAAGCAUCUGGAGAAAGCAAUUCCUUUCUCAAUUUUACUUCCAUUUCUGCAUCUGCUGGUAAAUCUGGCUGCCAGACAUCUGUUGCCAGCUCUGCCAGAAAGCUACUUGAAGGGACAGCCCUCCAGAUGAUGGCUCAUAUUCACCUGUAGAUGUGCUUUUCUGGGAGUUUAAAAAAAACCCGAAACACAAGAAACAGGAAAGUUUUGUGUGUCUUUCGUACAAUCGUAGACCAGCCCAGGUUGGAAGAGACCUUGAAAGAUCAUCAGGUCCAACCUCUUGUGGGAAAGGGAGACUAGAUGAGAUUAUCUAGCACCCUGUCCACUCACAUCUUGAAAAUCUCCAGUGGUGGGGACUACACCAUAUCCUUGGGAAAGGUUGUUCCACUGAAUGAUUGUUCUCACUGUAAAAUAUUUCCUCUUAUAUCCUGCUUUGUUUCUGCCCAUCAGUGUAAUUUUUUUACUUGUUUUUGUCUGGCAGUGACUUUUCUCAAUUCCUUUGCUGGAAAAAAAAGCAACGUGGAUUUCUUAGUUCAACAGCAUCUCACUGUGCUGCUCCUGGUGGGGAUCUGGCACCUGUGCUGCUCUUCAGCAAAAUCCACGUCUUGGUGCUCAUGGGGUGCAGAGGACCUGCAGGCUGGGCAGAGAUCCCUGGGGCUGGAGGUGCCCAGCCACAGGUAAUUUGGCCGCCUCUUUGCUGUACUUCAUUCACCUGCAGGUUUUCAAGGUCACGGCACUUGUUUAGACCAACCUCUUAUUUAAGAGAUUCCUGGAAUUAGUUUCCUCUCUGGUUCAGCAGUUGUGGAUGGACCCUGAUGUACAUUUUUCGGGGGGCAAGAGAGGCGUGGUGGAAUCUCAUCUUAUUUUAAAAAUUGCCAGUGCUAGAUCACUGGCCAUGCCAGCUGGAGGACUUUUCCCUCUGUAAAUUACCUGCAGCGCUGAAAAACGGUAUCUUUGUUUCUAGUUUGGUUUCUGUUGAGCUUCAACUUUCAACCUUGUUAUGCCUGUGUCUGGUAGGCUGAAGAGCACUCUUCCUGACAGGUACUUACAGGCUGUGAGGUACCUUUUAACUUUCCCUUUGAUUGACUUCCUUGAGCUCCUUGGUACAAGCCUGGUUUUGUUCUUGUGGCUUUUCUCUGAACUCUCUCCAGCUUUUCCAGCAUUUUUCUUGAAGUGUGGGUACAAGUAUUAAACCUCACACUCCCAUCGACUGUGCCAACCCAAGGCCCAAAGAUAACAGGGCCUCUCUGCUGGUACGUGACAUCCCUCAUUUGUGCAUCCAAGCGGUGUGGACCUGCCUUGCAAGCUCACAUUGGGCUAAUUAUGCCCCUUACCUCAGCCAGUCCUGUAGGUCUUGUAUGUUUGAAAAGUUUCCAUGUAGCCAUUUCUUUAAUACGCCAAGCAUCUCAUUAGUCUUUUUGAUGUUGUGGGGUUUUUUUUCUUGGUUUGCAUUCUGAAAGGAGUUUUAGUCCAACCUUUCUCACUGUACCAGCCACAUGUCAAAAAUCUUCAUACAGCUGAGAUCUGCUUAGGAGUGUAUUUUACAGAGCUGGGCGAAGUGAAGUGGUUCACAAAAGGAAAAGAAGAGUGAGGUGUAUCUCCAUUGUGUGGUGGGACAGGACAGACUGUGUGCCACUGUGCUUCAGAGUCCUGCAAUUUUUUUUGACCUCUUCAGCUCUUGAUGGAUCACUUUCUGCCAUUGAGAUUAACUGUGGAGAUGGUGAACUUGCAAGCCCUCUGAAGCCAAACCUGUUGUUGCUGGCUACAGAGUGUAGCACCAAGCUCCUUGCUUGGGAGUCAUGGGUUGACUGCCCCCAUUGAGGGUUUGGAUCAGUGCUAGCAUAUUUCUAGAUGUUAGACAUGGAGGGCUGACUGUAUUUCCAAUUGGGGCGCUUUUAGUAUCAGUGUUAUGUUGUUUCUUAUGUAUAAUGACUCAAAGGAAACAGAGGUGUUGAUCUGAUGAGGAACCUAGAAAGCCUUUUGGUAAUAACAUCCAGAUGUUUCCUUAGCACAUCUGCUUAAGCCAGUGUUGAAGUCAGUGCCUUCAGCAGCCCUGCUGAUGCAUUUUGCUGCCUGCUGCUCUGUGUGAUGCUAAUUUAUUAGUAAUGCAGGAAUGGAGGAGGGGAAGAUUUAAAUGGCAGCAGAAGCAGGGAGAAGCAGCUGCUGAGGAAGCGUGGGAGAGGAACGCAAUCCAGAUCAUAACCCAAAUUGUUCUUGCUUUUACUGCUUGGGUAGGAUGUUUGGAGGUAGUCUUGCAUGUAAUUGUCCCUUGUUGUAAAUACUGUACCCCGUUUUUGCCAAGUUACAGGUUACUGUGUCCCUGUGCAGCUCAGCCAUGUGGACAAGACAUUUGUCCGUCUGAGCAUUGAGUUCAGCCAAGAACAGGGCAAGCUCUGCUUGCGCAGCAGCCAAUAUGUGAAAAGAUGUUCCUGCCUGUCCCCUUAUUCGUGAGAAGCUGUUUCGUUCUGUGGUUCCGCCUGUGUUUAGCACUUCAACACCGCCUUGCUAAUCCCCGUGCCAGGAUUGUCAGCAUGCAGAGUUCCUCCCGGGGAGGGUCAGCUUCGGGACAGCUCAGCCACUUCAUGACAGGGCUUUGGGUGGCCGGGAUGCUACUGGAACCUGUGCUUGUAAUGUCACUGUGUCAGCGUCGUGCCCUGCCCAGGAGAGUAUCGCUGGCAGCCUGAGGGCAGCGCUCUGUAAUUCCAGAUGCCCUGAGUCGUGCAGUCUCUUUAUAGGCUGUACAUUGCAAAUCCUCGAUUUGUGGUCACAGCCCUUCUGAUACGACCCAGCCCUAGUGUGUGCUGAAGCUCCUCAGGCCACACUGCUUUUCCUCUGUCUUCCUCAAUGACUUCUGCUUGUGGCUGAUUUUCAACAUCACAGAGAGCAUGUCUUCAGAGCAGACCAGUUUGUAGAGCUCAUCGGAAAGCGCUGACCUGGACACCCGGUCUUGAAAGUGCUUGGCAACCACAAGUUUUCUGAAUAAAAAAGGAAUGUCUCCUCACCCAAAAUUAGGGCUAGUGCAUCACCUCCUUCCAGGGGUAGUGAGGUGGCGUUGGAGAUUGUCCAGGUUAAAAUAGGAGAGAAGGUGGAAGCGUGUGGUUGGGGUGUGGCAAAGUAAGAGUGGGAAGGAGACACUGAUGUGGCAGGUGUGUGUGACAUGGAUGGCUCAAAGGCAUCUUAUUUGCGUCUCUUCCUCUCUGAUGCAUGUCACAGCAUCAUGGCCUGGCCAAGGAUGGGCCAUCAGGUGUGUUUGGUUACCUGGCAGGGAGCAGGCUUGGUCCAGUGAUUCACAAGAUGGAGAUGGACACGAUGAAUAGGGUUGUACAACACAAGAGGAGCCCACAGCAGCUUGGGGUGUAUGCUGGGGGGAGCCUUUAGAGAGCCAGGCCCCCAAAACAGUGCAACACAUCUUGGAGCAAGAGAGACAGUGUGGCAUGUAAAUGCUUGACAUCUAAAUACAGAAAGCAGCAAGAGGUGGUCAAAGAGACCAAGGAUGGUAUUGCCAUCCUUGUGGGUUAGGCCCUGUUGGAAGUUCCUGUCUUCCCAUCUGUCCUUCCCGUGCUCCCAGGGAGUGUCAGAGACAUUUGUUCCACCACACCAGAUACCACCGUCUUUCCUUUGGCAAUGAGGUGAUCCACCUCUCUUAGCUUCCCUGGCCCACCCCUCCAAGCUUUCCCAGCAAAAAUGUUUGAGCCUUGGUGGCUUUUGUACCUCCGGUGCCAUAUUCUACACCCAAGGGAGGCAUUUCUUUGGCAGUAUAGACCAGCCCUCCCGCUUCUUCUGCCAGCCUGUGGGUGUCCAUAACUAAGAACAUUAAAUCUAUGUAAGACCAAACAACUCAAAAUCAGGUCUCCAACAGUGGUCAUAAGCAGAUACUUAGAGAAAAGUAAAGGCAGAACAAGCACAUGUGAUACAUCCCUCCGCCAGCACUCUACUGUUUUCAGCUCGGGAGUAUUUGGUGUACUCGGCAAUCCUCUGCAGGUUUACAUGUGAUGUAUUUGUCUAGUUUCCUUUAAAAUGUAUACAAAAUGGAGUAUCCACAGUAUUCUUUGGAAAGCAGUCCCACAGAUCUGCUGCUACUCAUUGCAUGAAGCAGCACCUCCUUUUGCUUCUUUCAAGCCCAUCUCUUGCUUUGUUUGAUGCAUCUUCGUUCUCAUACUAGAAGGAAGAGUUCCCUACCCAUUCAUUUCUGAAUACAUAGGCAAGUCAUACCCCCGCCUCCCUUAAGUCAUCUCUUUGCCUGGUUUAAGAGCCCUGCAAGCAGAAAUCAGAAUUGCAGCUGGAGAAAUACUUGUCCCUCACCUUGCUUUUGGCAUUUUUGUUUUGAGGUGUUUCCUUCAGUUGCUUCUUGAAGGCACUUGGUGAGCAUCUGCUGGUAUCACUGUGUGAGUGCAGAGACAGGGUUGCUGGCAGCGUGUCUGGUACCUGUCUCAGGAGCUCCCAUCCAUGAUUAGGGGCACCAGGCAAGGUGGUGAUGAAUUGGGGCAUUCCUGCUUUGUUUGGUUUCUGCUGGGGGAAUACCAGCUCUGCUGUACCAUUGUGGCGGGGACUGUUUCAAGUCAUGUCUGUCACUUCUACAUGCAGAACCCAACUGUGUAGUGCUGCUCUUCACCCUUUCCCAUUCAUAAAAAAGAUCUCUUCUUCUGUGAGGCUAAAUUAUGAGUUACUCCCAGCUAUGUCCUAGACCUGAUUUCUGUGCCUCCUACCGUGGCAGUCCUCCUUGGUUGCUGGGUUGGAGCUUAUUUGUGGUCUCUUCCUAAUGAGAUGGGGCUGCCAGUUCCUUCCUCUGUGGAUCUUUCCAUCCUAAGAGGCCUUGUUGACCUCUCCAUCACCUUGAUUGUCCAUCUCUUCCAGAGAUUCCCUGAAAGCAGAUGAAGGUGCGUAGUUUCUUUCUCAGAACAUUGCACUGGGCUGUUCAUGCCUGGCUGGUGUCUGCAGCAGAAGCUCCUGGAGAUUCCGAAAAUCUUCAAUUCCACAUAAAGUAUCUAGAUGCUGUGUUUCUGUUUCUGUCCAUACACAAACAGCUCCUGUUUUUGACAAAACUUAGAAUUUAAUCUAGAUCUGAUUUUUGGAGAUUUUGGGAGUUUUUCCUGCCUCCUUGUUGGACCAGUAUUUUAUACCUAGUGGAGCAAUGUCUGCAUUAGUAUUGAUCAACAAGCAAUGCAGUCGUUUUACUAGUCUAUAUGAAUCUGUAGUGGAGUGCAGAAAUUCUUUUAGAAUGGAUUUACAUAUAAAGGUAACUUUAUUGCAUUGCAUAUUAAAACCCAUUUCAUUUGAUUUAAGUAGCUUGAUGUUUCCUUUGUUGGCAUUUGAGCUGACUGGGAUUUUUUCACUAAUGUGCCACUAUGUUGAAGUUGUGAAUGCAUCCUCGGGAGAGUCGAGUUCAAUAAAUACCCCUUUUUAGGAAAAGUAUAAUAACAUAUUUGAGAGGAUUGGCUAGUGACUGUACAUCUAAAUUUUCCAACUGUGUUUGUAUUGUGGUUUGUAUUGUAAAUGGCUCUUCGUUUCUAAUGCAAGUUACAAUGAAAAGUAUAAAAGUUUAUGACACCUAAGGCAAAAUUUCCAACUAUUGAAACAAAGUGCUUCAAAUCAAAAUGAAUAUGAAUUCAGCAACCUUCAAAAUGUCCUCCAAGGAUGAUAGAAUUGGAUUUUUUUCACCUUUCUCUGACACCCCUUGUUCAUCUCUGUUUGGGUGGAAUUUGUGUUGGCUGAAUUUUUGAGCAAGAACAAGAUGUUCCUCUGUUUGUACUGCAAGGUCAGGGUAUCCCUUGAAGGGUGAACCAGACAUUACUCUCCCAUGGGGAUAAAAUUUUCAGCUCUUAAUACUAACAGAAAUCAUGUAUAAAACCUAAAAGUUUGUCAAUCUGUCCUGAUCCAGAUAUUAAAAUUGUGUUUUCUUUGUAGGUGCUGAAGCUCCAUAAGCUGCGAUUUGGGCUUGGAUUACAAAAUUUCGAAAGACUUGCUGAUCCCCUCUCAACUUCAGAGACAGAGAAGCUUAAGCUUAUAUCUCCAGUAUCACACAAGGAGAAAGAAGGGAGUUGGCUUCACAUGAGUAACUAAAAUCAAUGUUGUGUUGCUGUUGGGAGCGCUCAGAAGGAGAAAAGCCUGGAGUGUAGCUCUCGUUUUAGAGAGAUGGAUUUUGCCCGGGAGGAGGGUGCGCAAGGGAAGGUCCAGGAGGAUGAAGCAGAGGUGAUGUUACAAGCCACUUCCUGACCUCUACAGCGGGACUGAAACUUCACCACAGGGUAAGAAAACACCCCAAAACAGCCAAACAUUUUCCCUUCUUCCCACGUUAGUCCAGUAUCCAUCAGACAAGAGGUGGGAUGAGUCCAGGCAUUAGUUUUCAAUUGAGUGGAUUCUCCUAAUGCCCUCAACCUCCCUCCUGUUCCUGUGCCCACUUCCCGCAUCCUGUGUCACCAAUGCCUGUGUCUGCAGGGGACAGGAGACACCUGAGCAGGCUUCAUGUAAAAAUCAUCUGCAAACCUCUACAGUCUUACUCGUCCGCAUAUCUAAGACUUAAUUUUUUAAGCAUCCCUGCUCACACACCCGCAUUAAAUAUAUUGCUUCUGGAAGUAGCUUUGUGCCUUUAUGCCAGAGGAACUUGCUGCUUUAUUUUUGGAAGUGAGGAUGACAAGUCCCUCACACUUAUCUGCACUGUUUGUGGCUCCAAAGCACGGCAGGGAUGUAUUUUCCAAACUGAUGAGAUACAAAGAGAGUUGAAAUAAAUGGGUUUAUCACAUUGCCUCAUCCAAAGCCACAAGAGGAGAAAGGCAGGAGCUGGAAAAAGUAGAGCAAAAUUGCCUGGUUUCAAUUUACCACCUUUGGAGAAUUUAAAAACGUUGGUUGCAGAAAAGAAAGUUGAAGCUUGAUUUAUUUUUUUCACUUCCCUCAUGCUGCAAAUAUUUUUCCUCAUAAACAUGCGUGGCUUCUCCCUUGUCCUGAGCUCAGGAGUGCUGGAAGCAUUUCCUGGAAGGGGAAGGCUGGCUGGGAUGGCAGAGGGCAUCUGGGGCUUGGUCUGUUCUAGAGAUACAGCUCCAGGGGCAUGAGGGACACGGGGCUUUUCUCUGCUGCACUUUGCGUGGUCCGACUGGCUGGUGUGAAGGCUCUGUGGUAGUAAAGAUGGAAAGGGUUCACCAGACUCUUCCUCUGAGGUUACUGUGUGUGAUGUGUUUUAGGACAAGAGGAAAUGGCCUCAGGGGAGGUUUAGAUUGAAUAUUAGGAAAAAUUUAUUCCUGGAAAGGGUUGUCAGGCAUUGGAACAGGCUGCCCAGGGAAGUGGUGGAGUCGCCAUCCCUGGAGGUGUUUAAAAGGUGUUUAGAUGAGGUUUCUAGGGACAUGGUUUAGUGCUAGAAUUAGGUUAGGUGAUGGUUGGACUCGAUGAUCCUGAGGGUCUCUUCCAACUGAAAUGAUUCUAUGAUUCUAUGUUGCCAUGAAGGCCAUGCUAGCGUGGGCAUGUAGACCCAUAUUGUGAUGUUAACGUUCCGUAAUAAAUUUGGCGGUGAUGAAAAAUGCUGGAUUGAAAUCCCUUGAGAUGCAAAUCCAUCUUUUUUCAGAUCAGAGGUUUCCCCACUCCCCCUCACCCCCAUGUCUCAGCACUGAGCUGGAAGGACCAUCUCUUAGUAUUAGUGAGAAGUUCUUAAUCUCUGUGACUCAUUCAGUCGCUGGUUUAACUGCUGAUGUUUCCAGUGAGAAUGGCAGUGACACGGGUGGAUCUGGUGAUGGGAAGAUACCACUGGUCAGGAAGCAACACUCAUUUCACAUCAGUGAAGAGACUAUCUGAGACCUGUGUGUAGCUACUACAUUUCUACAGUGGAUUUGAAUCAGAGAGAGGACAGACACUUUCAAAGUCUGGGUCUGCCCAGUUCCUUGGAAGCACCAAAUUGAAAUACUUGCACGUUAAACAUGAGAUACCAUUAUAAAGUGGAUGUUGGGAUGAUAAUCUUAAGUCUGAGAGUGAAGUUCCCCCAUUUAAAGGUGAUGGUUGGGAAGUACGUGAUACAUGUUGAACAGCAGCUAUGCUGAUGAAAAUGAGAAGUAGAAGUGGCUCUACAGAGCAAAGCCAUCUAGUUUGUUAUCUCCUUUGAUGAUAAGCAAGAGAGGGGAGAGUAUAAGAAAGCAAGCUCUCUGGGGAUGAACCUUCUCAGCAGAUCCUCCCAGCAGCCAGUUGUUAAACAUGCUGAGUGCUUCUUGGGAGUGUCCUUGAGUUGUCCCCAUGGAUUAGGUGCUCCUGCAGCAGCUCAGGUUAGGGAAUUCAUUACUCUCUAAGCGGCCCAAGCCAUGCAGUGUCUGGCCAGGUGUCAUGUUUAUACAGAUUAGCUCAGGUCACCUAAAUCAUAGGUGCCAGGUUGGACUUGGCAGGACAGCGUUGCAGCACCAUGUGCGCCAAUGGUGCUGCUGACCAUUAAUUUUAAACCAUGCUCUAACACUAGGGCUUAUCUCAGGAUACUGGAGUUCAGCUCUUGGUCCUGCAUAACUGUCCCUUAACCCUUCCACUUCAUCCCCUGGAUAUAUCCGUGGGUAUAAGUUUGCAUUUGAUGAAAGGAACAGACUUCAGAAAAUCCUGUCCAGCCCCGUCUUCAUUAGUCCUGUAGUACUGUUGUCUCCUCAGUGUCUUGAUGCUCGGAGGAGAGAGAUACAAGCCCUUGUAUCUCGCAGGAGCCUCUUCCAGGUCUGCAAAGAAGAAUGGAGUGUAAUUUGGCACUUAUUAUUUCAUUGCAUCAGCUUUUCUGAGUCUGGGAGUGCUCUUAGCACAAGCAAAUAAAUUACCCGUCUCAUUUUGCUGCGUGCUCUGCAGCCAGCCAUAUGUUUGAGCCUGAUAGAGAUUCUUAUCUCACGAGCUAAAAUUACUCAAUGGAGGAUGACAUUUCUUAUCAAGGGCUUUGCUGAAUCAGAGAGUGGCCCUGGCACCCAGCUUUGAGACACCGCUCCUCUUUGUCCAGCCUCCCAGCCCGGCGAUAAAUGAAUUUGUGUCUGUAGGUCAGCGUCACUUGCGUCAAGGUUUUGUUGCAGAUGGAGGCUCUGAGGGUUGUCCCUGUGCCCAGGAGGACAUGGGAUUGAGGAGGGGAAGCAAGGCUGUUCGUUUAACUGAAACUGCGUGGCCUACAGCUGUGCAAACACGUCUUUGCUUGGAAGGUCCUUGUGUGCACGGCUGAUAACUUCAGGCUUCGCAGCCAGCAGGAGCCAAGGACUCUCUUCUCCCACUGCACAUGAAGGCUUUGCUUAAAAUUAGGUGAUGUAACCACCCCCUUCUACCAGCUGCCCUAGCUUUUCUCCAGACUUACUUACAACUUACAUAAAGCUUAAUCUCUCCAUCCUCCUGCUUCUUUAAUGGAUGAGUUAUUUUGCCUCCUUUCUUUCCCUUUCUCUCUUGCAUGCUUUGGAGUUUAUCUGGUAGUUGCCGAUGGUUCAAGGUGUUCUCUGGGUGUUUAGCAGGUAGGAGAGAGCCAGGGAGAAACCACUGCUCUUCAUUAUGUCUUCUUCCAAUACGGCAUCUUCCCUUUGCCUUCUCUUUGCAGUGCAGAACCAACAGCAUGGGGUGUUCGGCUUCUGCAGUGUGUCUGGGCAAAGCUCUGAGCAAAGGGACCUGCUGAUGGAUUGUCCUUUCCUCUAGCUGGGCUCUGCCUGCGAAGGCAGGUUUGUCCCUAGGAGCCCUCCUGAGCAGAAAGCAAGACCACCAACCACCCAGGUGUGGUCCAGCUCUCUGUAAGAGAUUCCUGGAAAAGACAUCUCUGAAUUAGCACCUUUUUCUCCUCGCAGGAGGAUUGCUUUGCCAGGUAAAUCUCUCUUACAGUGUUGUACAAAGGGCCAGGCAGGGUCAUUGUCUCAGCUCAGAAUAAAUCUGGUAAAAUGCCGUCUUCCAUGCAUAGGGACUGGUAGAGAGCGUCUGUAUGUGCACUGUGGGUUUGUUCUGCUAAACAGUCACACAUGAGUUUUUCAGAUUUUCUGUGACUGUAACAAUUUACUUCACUCACCCCUUCUUUGCAAUUUUCUUCAAGCAGGCCUGUGACAGCCACUUAAUGCACAGCAGGAGGUCUGAUCCCAAGAAUCCAGCAAAAGCCGUACUUCAGAUUUCUCUGGAAAAUAUGACCAGCAGGAGCAGCUUACUCACCAUUAGAUAAGUAUUACAGAUGACUCAUGCUAGAGUAUCGAUAACUGCAUGACUGAGGUGAACAUAUUGUUUUAUAACAGCUGGAGCAUGAUGCCAAGAGCCACAAACCUUAAUUCACAGUAUCACAGUAUGUAUGUUUGGGAUUGGAAGGGACCUCAAAAGAUCAUCUAGUCCAAUCCCCCUGCUGGAGCAGGACCGCCUAGGUGAGGUCGCUCAGGAACAUGUCCAGGUGGGUUUUGAAUGUCUCCAGAGAAGGAGACUCCACAGCCCCCCUGGGCAGCCUGUUCCAGUGUCUGUCACCCUCACUGAGAAGAAGUUUCUUCUCAAAUUUAAGUGGAACCUCUUGUGUUCCAGCUUGAUCCCAUUACCCCUUGUCCUAUUAUUGCUUGCCACCAAGAAGAGCCUGGCUCCAUCCUCAUGGCACUCACCCUUUAUAUGUUUAUAAACAUUAAUAAGGUCAUAAACAUUAAUAAGGUCACCAUCCAUGCUUUUCCACAAAUGUGCUUUGGGUCUCUGGUACCUUUUUCCUCUUGGUUUGUUGAUCUAAAGGGUUCAGAGAGGAGUUUUUGCUCCCCUCAAUGGGGUACAGGGCAUGGGGCAGCUCAUGUCAUUUGGAGCCACACUUCAAGAUGUCACCUUUAAAUGAAAGCUAGCAUUGAAAAGCUAGAGCUUUGGAGCUGUUCUCCAGGACAUCAUGCAAUUUUUGUCUUUUGAAUAGAUGUCACCAGUGGCUUUCCUCGAUUCUUUGUGGUUUUUGUUUUUGUUUUCUUUCCAGAGCCAUUACUUCCCUUUUCCAGCAGGACAAUCCAGAAGGUGCAGAAACAGGUAAGGCAACUGCUGUUGCAGCAUGAUAAUUUUGGGUCAUUAAAGGUGAAAUAGUGGCUGAAGUAAAGUAAAAAACCCCAUUAACUCAAUGGUAGUGAGAGUUUUACCCAGUGUGCUCAGCCUCCUGAAAACACCUGGAAUAACUGUGUCUGGGGAUUAAUUUGCAGGCAACCCAGGAGAGUGUGCCCAGACCUCCCUCUGCUUCCAGAAACACCGGCUCUGCGAGAAAUAGGUGAUGAGAUUCAAAAAGUGAUGAGCAAGGGGGAGAAACGUGUCCUUGGGGGAGAUGCAGAAGGAGCUUUAGCUGUGAAGGUGGGAAUACGCUGGGGAUGACAGGAGCUGCAGAGGAGGUCUUAACCUGAGGAGGGUGGCUGGGGGCUGAGGUGGCUUCAGCUGGAGGUGGGUAGAUAGCUUGGAGGUAUGCAGAGCCAUACAGGAGUGAGGGAGAAUCGGAGUCAAAAGGAGAUGUUUUGGUGGGGAGCACUGCAGCGAGGGAUGUGCUAACGAUGGCAAGUGCGUGGCUCUGCUUGCUGCUCCUGUUUGUGGUGUCACCAGGCCCUGCUGAUAGCUCCUUGGACCACACACUUGAGCAUCCUCUCCUGCAGUUCACACCAUGCCUUGAACUGCUGAAGCCAUUUGAUUUCCAGUAAGAUACUGAACCAAAACGCCAGAUGGCCAUAGCCUGAGGAGCACAUCCCUUUCACCAGUGCCAGCCCGGGGCCGGAGCUUCCUCUGAGGCAGUGGCAGUGUGGUAGGUGCUGCACUCCGUUUCUCAGUGAACAUCAGCCAGAGUCCCAGUGCAUUAAUACAGAAGAGAAAUCUGGCUUGAGAAUCUGUGUUUGUGUCCAAUCUCGUGGUUUGUGUCUCUGCAUUUACUACGAGGCUUAUGAAGCGCUGGACCAGGUCCCCCAGAGAAGCUGUGGAUGUCUUCUCUCAGGAAGUGUUCAAGAUCUGGUUGGAUGGGACUCUGGGUAACCUGAUCUAGUGGCAGGUGUCCCUGCCGAUGCCAGUGGAAUUGGACUAGAUGAUCUUUCAAAGUCACUUCUGACCCAAACCAUUCUUUGAUUCUGUGAUAUUGGUGCUUUGCUACUCUUAUUCCAAGAACUGCUGAGGGAUCCACUUUGCAAGAUGUUUUGUACUGAGGUUUAUGUGGGAGCUUCUGGGCCUUGGGAUGGUGUAGCAUCAGCCACUGAAUGCGAGGACAGGGGCAUCAGGAAUUUUACUGGCGCGUUUUUCCACUUUGGGCAUGUCCUCUUACAAUGACAUGCCUUAAAAAAAAAAAAACCAAACCCGGUGAAUGCACUUAACCAUCACUCAGUGGAAAUACUUUUGGGUAGAGAAAUGAAAGCGCAAGCCCCUGCCCUUCUCAUCUUGCGUCCCUGGGGUCAGGACUGCAGCUCCCAGGCAGGAUCGGGUGCUUCCCCGUGGGUGGCCUCGGCCAUACGUAUUCAAAUCGAGCACCCAGGCGUGUCACCUCACUGCAGCGCGGGGCUGAGAGAUGCAUGGGGGCUUUCCAGCCCCAUGGGCCAUUAUUAGUAAGAGGGUUCAUGUGUGGUGUGUCUUGAUUCGAGCUGUGAGCUGCCAGCCGACUCUAAAAACUGCUGCUGAGCCUUGUAAAUAAUAUUGCAAAAAGUUUCCGAGAAGCAUAGUAACUUGCCUAAAUAUAUAUUUUUUAUGUCCGAAGAUGCUCAGUGUUGCGUUGGUGCUGAAGGUUUGCUGAGCCCCAUAAGGGGAAGUGUGCUCCGGCUCUCGUUUGGGAAGCUUGAGCAGGUAGCGGAUAAGGAGGUGAUUGCUGUGGUUUUGCUUCUCUCUCUGUUCGGAAAGGUGGAUUUUGAGGCAUGUUUGUGGGUUUGGCGUGUAGGUAGGGUGAUUUAGAGCAAUGUGAAUGACCUGCAUGGUAACUUUGAGAUCGUGCCAUCUGAGUGACUAGACUGGGGAUUACAGAUCCCAGGGCACCCAAUGUUCAAAUAGGUUUUUAAAUCGCACGGGUCAUUUUGAAGGAGAUAAUUAAGUUCUUGAGUUACUCAGUAAUGCCUACAAAUGUUCCUGCAAAUGGCUCAUGAAGCACUUGCAGUCUCUGACUUCUGCCAGAGGUAAAUGCACUAUUAGGAGCAAAUUAGCUGCCCAUGUGACAUUUUCUGUCUUGGAGUCUCAGGGUGUUUUAUUGAGAUGUGUUAAUACAUGCUGAAUCUGUCAGUCAAAUAUGCACCCUCUGAUAACCAUCCUCAGGUGAAAUGAAUCCUGAUGGAGCCAUUUGAGAUGUUGCUGCGCCUGCUUCCCACCUGUCCUGUUGCCAAAGGCUGCUACUCAUGGGGGCAGGACUACAGAGUGGGUUAUGUGUGCAUUUGCACCUUAUCCAUAAUUUUGUAUGAGCACAAAACCGUCUUCAUUUGCUGGGAAAGCUGGAGCACAAGGUGGUGAAGCUGAAAUGUGAAUAUCUGUUCUAUUUCCCCUUGCUAGAGGGAUGGGGGAUUAACCUCUGGAAGCACACUGGAGUGGGAGCAAUGACAUCUCAGAUGCUGAAGUUAGGCUUUGAGAGCAGUUUUGCCCUCUGGAAGUCUCUGCUUCCUUCCAUCUGACUAGUUGGUGGGGUGGGAGUCAUCUCAUGGCACCCCCCGUGUAGGCUGGCAGCACAGUGUUUGGUUUCUGCUGUAAUCAGUGGAGGCCUCGUCCAUGUUGUCCAUGGGGUUUAAGGUGCGAAGGAUGUGAUGAAUGAGAUGAAUUGCACCUUCAGCUUCCCUGACUGCUUGACAGACUUUUUGCCGACUUGUUCCGAUGCAGAAGGCAACACUGCAAACACCUUUCUUUGAUCAGAUGUGACAUGUCCAUAGCCAGCUUGUUUAGGCUACAUAUAUAUGCUUUAGAUGGCUGUAGGGUGGGUGAGAUGAAUCCUACACCUGCUGUAGCAAUACUAGUGCCCCAGGCUAUGGCGGGCUGUUUGGGGAGGAUUUUUAAAGCAAGUUUUGUGAGCCCCUCUUGCAGCAAGGCUUUAUUUCCAUCUGUUUCUGGAGAAGAAUGUGGUCAGAACAAGGUUGGGGAAGGGGAAAACUCCUAUAGGUCAUGUGUAAUUUGGCAGUGGCUGUGGCACCCCGAAGCUCUGCACCCACAGCAUCUGUGAUACAUGGAGGUGAUGGGGAGCCAAGGGUAGGACUUCAGGGCAUGACACAGGGAUCAUGUGAGGGUGUUUUUAGGAAUAAUGUUGCUUGAGGCAAUAUGAGAAAGUCAGGUGGUUAAUAGUGUCCUCUUUCCCAAAUACUUAGUUUUGUGGCAAAGGUUGCUUGGCUCAAGGGUUCCAGAAUUUUAAGAAUUGUCACUUUGACACCAGUACCUAAGUCGUACGGAAGAGAUUCCAAGGUGUUUUAUUGUGUCUCGGCAAAUAUCACAAGAUGCUUUGAUGUGGUCUAUUAUGAAUAGGCUAAUUGGUAUCCAUCUUAGAAGCAGACCUCAGUACAUCUGAGGUGUGUUUUAAACAGCAUCAACUUUGUGUGAUGGGUUUAGGGGGAAACCUUGCAACCGAUGGGAAGCCAGCAGAGAAAUAUUUGACCCUCCAAUCAAAUAAAAUGUCAGGCUCAAAGUCUGCCCUGACAUCUCACCCCCGCACACAUCGUCCUGUAGGCACUGGGCCAGUCAUGAGAACCCUGUUGUCACUUCUGACACUGAAGCAUGAAGGUUCCAUCUGAAAUUGAGGAGAAACUCCUUUGCUUUGAGGUGCCAAAGCCUGGAACAGGCUGCCCAGAGAGGCUGUGGAAUCUUCUUCUCUGGAGACAUUCAGACCCCCUCUGGACACAUUCCUGUGUGAUCUGCUCUGGUGAACCUGCUUCAGCAGGUGGGUUGGACUAGAUGAUCUCCAGAGGUCCCUUCCAACCCCAGCCAUUCUGUGAUUCUGCUCCCUUGCCUUGUGAUCUCUCCAGGGUGUUGCUGUGCUGCUAUCAAUGUGGCAUAGAAAUGCACAUUACCUAUCAUCAGUCACCAUGGAAGGGACAUUGUGAACUUUAGUACACUCAUCACAGUGAAGGACCACGUUCUUCUAGCACAUGUGAGAGUACCUGAGGAAUUGCACAGGUUGUUUGUUACCUCCAGGGUCACCUACACCAGUCUGGAUGUUCGGGACUAGAGAAAUUUGGGGUUGCUUUCUCAUUACCUCACGUUGUGCCUAGGUUGAGGGGCUGCAAAGAGGAGAAAGCAACUGAAGUUGGGCACAAAAUCCAACCUCUUGUUUUCCUGGGCAGGCUGCUGCCCCUGAACGUCCACAGGCCAUGUGAGCAUGGGAAGCAUGGGCUGAUGGGCACUUGGCAACUAUUCUUGUGCAGAUGCAUGUGGAUGGUUGUGCAAUUAGGCUCCGGCCACGUGCCUUUUAGAUGGUCUCUGGUGCAGGUGUACAGGGGCUGGCUUUGCCAUCUGUGUGGGUUACGAUGGCAGAAGGUUUCCCCCCUUCAAGGGGAAUUUUCCCUGGCUGCCACGCAGGCUGAGCAGAAAGCUGAUAAAGCCCAGGUCUGGUAUCACAGCAGAUCUAUAGAUGUGUCAUGAACAAGGAGAAGGGGAAGCACCUGGAGACACAUCUGCAUCGGACCAUAUCACACGACUGUCCCAAAUGGGCAGCAACCCCAGCCAGUAGGUCCACACAGUGCCAGUUUCCUGUCUGUAUGGACUCAACCAGUCUGGCUGGUGUUUCAGGCAGCGCAGGCGAUGUCAUCCUGGGCAGGAGGCUUUCUUUUGCUUGCUUGGUUGUGUCUUAAUGCCUUGAUCGCUACCCGAUUUCUACUCUGCAGCCUCCCCCAGCUUCACAUUUUUCUUUGCAUUUGGAGCCGCAGCCUGAAAACACUCAAGCUAAACCCUGUGCCCCAACGGUUGCUCGUCUGAAAGUGUGGAGCCAGCUUGCAGCAGCUGCUAAAAUAGCAAAACUGAAGUGGGGAGUGAAAAGUGAGACGGUGAUUAAGACCCGAUUUCCUGUCGUGGCCCCGCAGGGCUCCUGCUGGCAAUGGAGUCGUUGGUGUCAUCGACAGCAACGGUGUGAAGCCUCCCAGCCAUUGGCCUUGGGCUGGCUGAAUCACUGGCAAGCUGUCCUGUGCUGCUUAGUUAUCUGAGUGAUUUGUAGAUGUUGGUGACCGUGCUGGGCCAGGCUCGGAGAGAGGAUGAGGAUCCCAUUUUUGGAAUCUGGAAAGGGUAGGGAGCCCAUGUGGGGUGGCUCAGGCUGAGCUGGGGUUGGAAGCAUCCACAGUGAGACCUGGUUCAGCCACGAGACAGUCUGGUGUUUGUUGCUUUGUGGUAUCUAGAAGAGCUGAAAGAGUGCACAGGAUUUGAGAGCACUGGGGAUGUUCGUCCUCUGAAUUUUCCUCCCAUCCCUGCCAAUAAAUUGCUUUACACCCAUAAUCUAGGACUGGGCAAGAGGAGAACGCAACGGGGAGAAAUUGCUGCUGAAGGGAUGGUGAAGCUCUGAGAACAUGCAGGUAGUUCACCGGUCCUACUGUUUGGCCCUCAUGUAGACAGAUAUCGUGAAAGAGCAAAUGCACGAGAAUUAGUUUAUCUUUUUUGGCUUACUUACACCUGAGGUUCAUACAAGGAGAAAACAACUGAGUGCAAAGGAGAUGCUGAGCUGAUGGCUUGUCUUCCAAGGACACUAUUUCACAUGUACUUAAUAACAUGCAGUGCAUUUUUGUUAGUGCCAGGGGCAGCUUCUGGUUUCUUUCUCAGCCUGGCAGUGCAAAUUGCUGCUCUCCUGUGUGUGCUUUAACAGGUCAUAGGUCCGUGCUGUGGAGGUUUGGACCUGAUGUGUUUCAUCAGUCCAGAUCACAUCUUUGUAAACUGUAUCUUUUCUGAUAGCUGAUGAAGUGAUGACGUGCAAUGCAGGGAUGAGACUUUCCUACACCACCUCAUCCUUUGGAGAAAGCCAGUUGCUAAACCCACUGCGAAGAGGCCAGAACCCCCAUUGGCUGUGGUGUUCACUUCGUGCUUGGUGGCCCAUCUGAUGUCUCAGCAAAAGAGCAGCUGAAUGAGCCCCUUGCUGCCAGAGGUGAUAGCAAGUAGUGGGAAGGAGGAGAAUGGAGAGGAGGUUACUUCUAGGUGCAAAGCACCAGGAAUGAUCUCCUUCUCCGUUUUUGCAAUAGGAGCUGUAGCUCUUUCUCCUCUCCGUGCGUCCCUGGUAUGGUUGUAGCCAUUUGGCUUGAUGGAGGCAGCGCUUCACCUAGUGUGCCAGGGGCUCACAGUAGGAAACUGGGGUCUCUACUUUGGUCACACCCUGGGCAUAUGGCCCAACAAGGAGGACCAUGGGCAUCUCCCCUACUGGGUCAUCUCACAAAGAGUGGCCAUAAGAAACCGGCACAUUAUUGCAGCCCUUUGUCAGAUUGAGGAGAAGCAGACAAGCCAAAAUCUGCAAGGCCACCUCCAUAAUUGUAGUCUCCCUCCAGAUUCGUCUUGCCCAAAAGGUGCAGGAAAGACAUCUAUCUCAUGUGACAAUGCGUGUGUGAACUUUUAUACUCUUCAACAAGCCACCUCCUAUUUCUUUGAGUUUAAAAGUCACAGCAGCUCCCAUCAACGCCGGUGCUAAACCCAUCAGAUUCUCUCACGACCCUUUGCCAUACAAAGGACAGUUGCCGCUUAAUUCAGCAGCGUGAGUGACCAUUGCUUGAAACUCAGUGCCAUAUGGCAUUUGGUCUUUUUGGCCUCUCUGAGCUCUUGGGAUCACCAGCAUCUCCUCCAAGGCUGCCUCUUCUUGUGUGUUCAUGCAUCACCCAGCACCACCGGCACAGCUGGGACAGGCUUUUGUACUAUGGAGGCCAAGUAAAUGCCCUUCUCAUUCUGAUCAGUAUGAAGGAAGUGUAAAUAAAUACAUUUUUUGUGGAGCAGAUCAGCGCAUGGGAGAGGCUCUGGUGGUGGUGGUGCUGGGGAACACGUGCUGAUUCACUGCAGCCAAGGUAAUUGCCCUGAGCUGGUAUCCUCUGCUCCCAUUUCUUUCCUCUGAUCUAGGAGUAUUUCUCUGUGGUGUGCAGCCUGAGGUGUGCAUGGCCCGUGUGUGAAAGGUGAGGAAGUGGGCAGAGGGGAGAGAUGUCCCCAGGCCAGGCCGAACAUCCCAUGUUACGAUUACUGUGUAAAGAGAGGGAGCUUGCUUGCAGAGAAAUUACUUCUGCGCUCACUAAGAGACUCAUGUUAACAUCCACUGCCAUGGGUGAGAGGGGUAUUUUACAGUAUCCUGAUGCCUUUCAUCCCAGAGGAGUUAGCUUAAAGUGCUUUUUAGACUAUUUUCACAGUGCUGAGAAAGGGAUGAGCAAUAGGUUUGCCAUGAAACAUCCUUUCCAGCUGGGAGAGCAGCACCUACUGCUGCAGCUGCGGUGCUGGGAGCUGGAGCUCUUCAAAUGCAUCAACUUCUGCUGGCUACAAAAGCAACACCACAGCACAGCAUCGUUUUAGGAGUCUGGAGGAAGAGCUGCCCAUGAUUGUUUUAAGUAUUUUAGGAAUUAUUUUGAAGGAGGAUGGAUUAAAGGAAAGGAAAUAGCGCAGAUAUGGGAAGGUAAACAACUGCUUUUUGAGCAGGGAGGCCAAGGAUGGCUUUGAGGUGAGAGCAGGGAACAGACUGCAGAUGGAUUUGCUGUGCAGAGUGCCAUCAACCAGAUGUAACACUCUUCUCUCUUUCCCAGAGAGAUCUUUCAUAUCAAGUUAAGGAGGAAACAGCGCUUGGCUGGAGGAAACAACAUAGCCUUGGUCUGGUGGCACCUGGAAUGUUCACUGGUCCUGAUUCCCCACCCCAGCAAGGCUAUGGAAGACCUGAAGAACAUGGAAAAGACAGCAAAUUUGCUCCGAGGAAUGUGGGCUUGGUAGCUCCUUGGGAGGGCGUCCAGAGGAGACCCUGACGGUGGUGAGCCAUCUGGUGGCCUCCCCAUUGCUUUCUGGCUUUGCUCAGUCUGAUGGUGGAAGGUGGUGCUCACACCUUGCAGCGUGUCCAGCCCAGGCAAGGUGCUGCAGGCCACACUUUGAUGUGCCUUGCCUUUGUGUGCCAAGCCCACGUUCAGUGUCAGCAGCAGAGCCAAACUAUCGCCAGCGAGUGUGGAACUCUGUUUGUAAAACCCAUGAGAAGACAGGAAAGGUCAUUUCGUUUGAAGGAGAAAAGGGGCAAAAGGAGAGAUGCCACGUGGGUUUGUCAUGUUCCCUUGAAGGAAACAAAUCAUCUCUGCGAUCACGGGAGAGCAGCAGGGAAGCAGCUGAGGGAUGAAAACCGGCUCACCCCUUAGCAACGCUCUCUCACAUCUCUCCUCUUGUGUGCCUCUUCACCACCAACAGCAGGGAAUAAAAAGGAAAAAGAAAAAAAGAAAAAAGCAGCUAAAUGGGUUUUGAACAGAUGCCAAGGCUGAUUUAAUUAGGUGUAUUGAAUUUGUUAACUUCUGAAUUAUGUGUCUGCCGCGUGGCACAGAUGACAAGCAGUGACAGUGGUGCAGCACCGACCUGCCAGGAGGUUCAGCAAAGCAGAAGGAUUGACCCACUUCCAGCAGCUCUGCGGGGAGCGCAGGAGAACGCCCUCCGCUCGCAGGGAAAGCUCUGGUCCUGGGCUGGGGGCUGCCGGGGAGCCCUGCAGCAGCCCUGGACUCCAGCAUGAGCCCCGGGCUGGGUAAAUGUCUGUGUGCCCAUGGGAGCAGCUCACCCUCCUGCUUUGUGUGCUGACCUCUGGCUUCUGGCUGACUCUGAUUUUCUGCUUUUCCCACCUAUUGCACCCUUAACGAAAAAUACCCUGGUGUUCUCUGAUAAUGGGCCUAAAUGCUGCUGCAGCUGAUAAGGGUGAUAAAGUCAUCCAUGCACACUGCCAUGGCAACCUGCACCAAUUGCUCUUCUCUCUCAAUGCGUCUCAGCUCUUCAGCGUGAGUGCAGACGUGUGGAUUUGGCUGAGACUUGCCUGGGAAUUACCCAAAUCUGGAGGGUUUGGCUUUGGUUAUGAGCUCUGCCAUGGACAUGGAGCUGUUUGGCAGCUCCCAGCCUUGCUGGCCACUCCUUGAAGCAGAGCAUGCUUCCCCUUGAACCUUGCUGUGGGCCCUGGUGGUGCAGGUUGCAUCUUGAAAGACUUGUUGGCACCAGAGAGGGGGCUUCUGAAAAACAAAUUUGUUUCCAAAUGCAUUUCAUAAUGAUUAUCAAGAGGAACCUGCUCCUAGCCCCACCAUGAUGCACAUUUGUGUAGACCCUGCUCAGUGCCAGGGUCCUCACUGCAGACAGCAACCACAGGAUCACUGUGAGGUCAGUGCGGUGCCUCCUUGCCAAGUGACCUCCCAUCUGGAGAAGUUUAACUACUGAGUUGCAUCUUGAUGUUCUGCCUCCAGUACCAGCCAUGAGCUGAACUCCUCCCAUUCAUUUGGCAGUCUUCUCCAUUGCUCGUUAGUGUCAGUGCAAAAAAAAUGUCCCAUGGAAUUGUCUGUCAAGUGUUGAAGAAAGAAGGUGGAUUUCGUGAGCCAGCAAUGGUGUCUUGUGGUAGGGAAUGGUUGCCAAGACCUUGGAAGCUAGAAGACACCAACAGAGACAUUUGAGAAGUAAACAGGUAUGGAAGUACUGCAUGAAACGCAGGUCUAGGUUGUGCUGAAGAUCACCAUGUGUGAGGACAUGGCCUCAGGUUGUGCCAGAGGAGGUUUAGAUUGGAUAUUAGGAAAAAUUUAUUCCUGGAAAGGGUUGUCAAGCAUUGGGACAUGCUCACCAGGGAAGCGGUGGAGUCACCAUCACUGGAGGUGUUUAAAAGACAUGUAGAUGAGGUUCUUAGGGACAUGGUUUAGUGCCAGAGUAAAGUUAAUGAUUGAAUUCAGUGAUCUUGAGGGUCUCUUCCAAUCAAAAUGAUUCUGUAAUUCUAUGGUUCUAUGAAUGAGAUGUUGAGGUGGGAGGAAGCUUAGACACAUCAUCAGUCUCCCCUGGUUGUUGUCCACGUUGGUAGUCACCCAGAGUGGUGAGGAACUUGCUAUUUUAAUGGGGAAAUUAGGCAAAGAUGUGUUGGGGAACUUGUCUGAGGUCAGGCAGAGGAGACGACUGGGAUGUUGUUUCCCACCAUCAAAGCUCUGACCUUUUCCUGCCUCGAGUGUGGUUUCUUCUCCUGACCCCACAGCACUUCUCAGCUGGAGCAAAAAAGGGUUGCUUGAGUGGGGAGACGAAAGAAGAAAUGUUAUUUCACUGAGCAAUGUCAGGAAAUGUAUGGGAGGAAGAAACAGGACAGAUGGAAGGAACCCAGCUGCCUGCUUUUGCAAGGAAGACAUCUCUUUGUAGCAUCGAAGCUGCUUUCAGGAUUUAUGAUUCAGCUUUCAAGUUGGUUUUUGAUAGUUAGGAUGUUUUCAUUUUGACUUAAUCUGUUGACAAGGUGGUAAGAGCCCUGCGAGGAGGCGUAUCUCUCCAUCAGGUAUGACUAAUUGUGUUGGGACAGCCGCGUACGCGAUAACACUUCUGUUUUUCUCUAAAACAGCUCCAUUACAGACCGCCUGGUAGCCGAGCCCCAGAGAGUGUUUUUGUGGGAGUUUUGCUGAUUGUGCAGCCCAGAUAACCUGUGAGUGAGCAAACAUGGGAAGCCCUGAAUGUUCAGCUCAAAAAUCAGAAGCAGACUUGUUUAGCUGCUUGUCUGAACCGAGCUUUUAAUUGUGUGUUGUCAGUGCUUUUCAGGAAACUCAUCUCAUCUGAGACAUGUCAUUUGGUGAUGAAGUGCUCUGAUUUAGGGACAGCCACCAGGAGCUCUGUGAAGGCCAGGACUCACGGCUAGGCACUGGUGGCUUUGCAGCUCAGUGUUGUGUGUUGCUUCCCUUUCUUCUCCUUGGAGAGAAAAAGUCCGUCUGUGCGAAAUAGAUGCAUUUUUAAGGGAGAGCCAACAGUGUGAUUUGUCUUAGUCUUUCACUCAAAAAACGAUCCAAACAAACCAGUUUGCUGUAGAAGUUGGUAAACCCUUUCUCUAGAUGUUUGCUGCUGUUGAUCCCGUUUCUGCAGGAAUCCAGGAGUUUUGGUGCAGCCUAAGGGCUGAAUUUAAAUCUCUUGCAGUUGAACUACUUGCCCCCUGCUCCUCAGGGUAACAGUUGUAUGUGUGCAUGAAAGCCACGCUUAUGUCCCUCAAGAAGUGUGUCAGCACUGAGGAGCCUCUGACCUCAAUAUAUCAGCUCAGUGGUCAACAGCCUUAUGCAGAAAGAGCUUUAGUGUGCAACUCUUCCACAUGGCAGAGUUUAAUCUUUGUAUGGGUUACAACAGCAAGCUCUCUGCAGGAGGCUACACAGCUUUAAAGCCGUGCUUGCCUUCAAUGUAAGCAAUUGCUUGCUCCUCAAGGAGAUCUGUAGUCACCUGAAAGCUGCCCUGAAAGCAGGUGAGUGCUCAGUCUGUCCAAUAUAUGGAGGUAGCAGAGAUCUUGACCCUUCCUCUGCCCCUGUUCCCGAGGAGGGAGGCAGGCUUUCCUGCCUGCAGCAAGGCACCUAUUCUGCUAUAGAAGUGCAAGGCCACUUCCACCAUGAUGCCAGCAUGGGGCAAUAGUUUCUAGUUGGGUGUUAGAGCAGUUAUUCAGCAGUAAUCAGAAGGGUGAUGCACGAGGAGGUAGUUGGUCAGUGUGCACCUUCUGAGGGCAUUGACUUCUCACACUAAACUCACCAAAGGACCAUUUCAGUUUUCUUCUCUCUUUCCAGUGUUGGCUUUGUUGCUUCUUGUUGGAGGACAGCAGUUACAGAAACAACAGAUUCACAGAAUGAUUGGGGUUGGAAGGGACCUCUGAAGAUCAUCUAGUCCAUCCCACCUGCUAAAGCACAUUCACCUAGAGCAGAUGUGUCCAGGUGGGUUUGAAUGUCUCCAGAGGAGACUCCACAGCCUCUCUGGGCAGCCUGUUCCAGGGCUCUGGCACCCUCAAAGUAAAGAGGUUUCUCCUCAUAUUCAGAUGGAACCUCCUGUGCUUCAGUCUAUGCCUAUUGCCCUUCAUCUUAUCAUUGGGCACCACUGAACAGAGUUUGGUCUCAUUCUCUUGACACCCACUCUUGAGAUACUUAGAGACAUCGAUGAGAUCCCCUCUCAGCCUUCUCUUCUCCAAGCUGAACAGACCCAGCUCUCUCAGCCUUUCCUGAUAAGAAAGAUGCUCCAGACCCCUCAUCAUCUUUUUAGUUCUAUAUUGAACCAUUCAGUAGUUCCUUGUCUUUCUUGACCUAAGGAGCUCUGGGCAGCUGAACAGACGGGCAGAGCUCAGGACAUGAACUUGGCAGCUGAGAACACCAGGGGGGAGGCUCCACUCCUGAAAGUGUGAGAAAGCUCUGGACACAGAGAGGGCUUGUGCCUUCAUGAUGGCCUUAUGACCAUGAUCCACCUAGGGUGACCUUGCUGUGGAUGAGGUGUGUCUUGCAGGGGUACAGCUCUUUAAAAUAAGGAUAUUGUCCCAUGGACAGGAGUGACCUGUUGGUGUUGAGGUUGGUUCCCCUCGCUCCUGUUGGAUGCCCCGGGGCGGGAAGAGGAGGCGCACGGGCUGCCAGCGCGGCUCUGAAAACGUCGGCUGUGCAGAGUCCGUCCCCGUCUGGACUCGUAGGGGCUGCUGCGCACAAGGCCUUCACACAGGUUCCUUAACAGGCUCCUUUUCACUUUUUCCAGGGACUUGCACUGUGCUUCAUUUCAGAGGGAUCGAGUGAAUUAACAUAUUGUUGCUGCUGCCUGGGUAAUUGCAUGCUCCGGGUCUGCUUUGCUCCACACAGUCUUCGCAGCUUCCCAGACAGAAAGCAUCCUUUUCCUCUGGCAAACAAGGCUGCAAAGUCUUGCCCUGAGACCUUCCUCAAAGGAUGGAGAAAUGGGAGGGUGGGAAGAGGAGGGGGACGCUGUUUCCAAAGGCUUCAAGACCUCACCUCUCAAUGAGGAGGAGGAGGUGAGGGUUUUCAUCUUUAUUUCUGUACCAAGAUACUAAUUUUGCCUGAAGCUGUGGUUUCUUUUGCUGUUUUGUACAGACCUCAGUAUGGGUGCAGUUACAGAAAUUCAGACCAGCUCAAGUCACUACAGGGGCUCCGAAACUGCCUGAAAUUAGCCAUCCUGGCUCAUGCAGGAGUUUCAGCAGAAGUUGAAACUGGGUGAUCUGAUACCCUCUUCUGUAAUGAAAAUAAAAACCUAUGAAUAGGUAGAUACAAAAAUGCUUACUGGUCUCACUUCCAAGUACAAAAAAAGCCACAUGUGGAUAAACCCUAAGAGCCCUCUAAGGCCCUGUGAGAACAGACCACAUCUCCAAACAUGUUGGUGAGCGUAUCUUCAAAGUUGGACCAGUUUCUUAAUGCAAAUGCAGGUUUGCCUUUUAAAAAGAUGUUAUUUGGUCAGGACUGACUUCUGUUUGGGGGAAGUGGCAUCCCUUAGGCUUUGGGCUCCGAAAAGAAAGGUGGUUGUGUGCAGUGUGAGGAGGGCAGGUUUACUCCCUGGCAUGGCUUGGCUAUCAAGUGGAGGCAUGAAGGGGGCAGGGAGGAUCAAGACUCUGGGACAGAGAGGAGGAGGUUGGUUCAUGGUUCUGCCACUGACCUCCUGACUGACCUGGGGCUAGAAGAUGAACCUCUAUUCUCCCACCUCCUCCUCUCCUGCCCACCCAGCACACGUGAGAGUUGCCUCAUGAUUUGUAUGGCUUCUUCUAAGAAACCAGAGCUCAACAGCUCUGUCUGUAAGGUCCCUUUUCAUCUUCUUGGUUGUGACAUUUCCUGCCUCUUAGCCACAUAAGUUAUUUUGACUGGAGACAAGACAUUACUCCAACACCCUUUACAACACCGGGGUUGAAGGGGGAAGGCUGUGCUGGCAGUGGAGCUUGCUCAUCCUGCACCAGAGCAUUGCAGCUUGCGGGACAGAGGGAUGGCUUCUUGAGACAUCUCCAUCCUGUGGAACAGAGGCUGCAGCACUGGGCAGUAUAGAGAGUCCUUUUAUAGUCAGUGCUAUUCACUUGGCUUAGGAAAUCCUGCGUGGUCAGUAAAUGUGUGUGUAUAGGGGAGGGAGGAGGUGUGACUGCCCUCCAACACUGGUCUUGUGUGUACCGCAGAUGGGACAUGGGUGGGGAUUCCUCGGCCAUUGAUACCCAAACUGAGAUGGACAUUUGGGUCUGGGUCACUGUGGGACUGGAUGCAGAAAAGUUUGGUUUGUCGUGUCCCACGGUGUCACAGAGGCACCCCGAGGUUAGUUUAAGGGACAACAGGGUCCAAAACAACUUUUAUUAAACCGGUGAGAAACAGGGUUUUAGCACUCCAAAAGCGACUUAAAUAAAGGUUCGGAUAUCAGUUGAGGAAAAUUAUUAAGGGGCAGCAACUAAUACAACAGGUGGUCCACAGAGUGCAUGCACGUGGCUUCACCAAAACAAUGCCGGAGCCGGCCCUGUGUCCCAGAGAAGUACACACUUGCCUGAACACGGUGCGGGAUUAUUUUUAAAGAGAUACAUGUACGGGAAGUGUACACUCGCGAUUCUGCGAGGAUUAAUUUUACACGUGCAAAUCUGCACAGAAUAUUACACGUGCUUAUGUGGAAGCACGGGAGGAAAAUACACUCGCAAUUGUGCGAGGAAAUAAUUUAUACACAUGCUCAUAUUGAGCAUGGAAAGUUACACGUGCAAAUGUGCGUGGAAAGUACACUUGCGACUGUGCAAGGAAAUAAUUUAAAGUACACGUGCAAAUGUGUGUGGAAUAGUACCUGUGCAAAUGUGCACGAAAAGUAUAAACAUACUCGCAAUCCUGUGAGGGUUAAUUUACUUACACACGUGGCGGCAAGGCAAGCGGAGUCUCAGUCCCGGGGAGCGGGGGGGCCGUGGCUCCUGGUGGCGGUGGCUAAGCUCGUGCUCCGAGAGACCCGCGAUAAUGGGCGGAGUCUCGACGAGAGUCCCGUUUUUAUACUGGCUGAUCAGAUCUGACUGUAGGCAUUCUAGAAGCUUCUCUGCACCCCCACACUGGCUGUGGGUACCCCUGAAGCCUCCAAACAUCCCCCACACUGGCCGCAGGUGCCCAGCGGCUCACUGGCACCUCGGCACUCCCUUCUCCUAAUGGCCCUGGCCAGGGUGCUCUGGGGCCAAACAAGAGAAGCUGUUGGCCUCAAGUAGCAGAGAGAGAAGGAGAUGUGCCUACUCAUUCCAUACUGAAGGAGGGAGGGGAGGAGAGGGGGGUUUGCAUUCUGCCACACACAGAAAACACAACUUACAGUGCUUACAGGGACCUUCUGGUCUUCACAGUCUUGGGUUGUGAUUGUCUCUAAACUCUUUCUCUUGGGUGUUAUCACAGUACCCAAGCACUGAACAAUUCCCACCCCUUUCUCCAAAGCCUCUGCACUGGUGGCAGUUAGAGGAUUAUUUGUAGGACUGUAGGAUAAUUCAGGCUGAAAGGGACCACAGGUGGGUCAGCUGUGAGAUCAGACCAGGUUGCUCAUGACUUCAUUCAGUUGAGUCUUGAAGACUCCUAAGGAUGAGAGUGCACAGCCACAGCUUGACUGUCAUCACAUGGAAAAAGUUUUUCCUGACAUCCUCUCUGAACCACUCUUGUUUCAAGUGAUGGAUGUUGUCACUCAUUCCUCUGCCAGACACCACUGUGAAGAACCUGGCUUUGUGUUGUCAGUAACCUCUUGCAGUUGCUGGGAACUGCUGCUAGAUCCCUCAAAGCCAUCUCAUCCCCUGCUGACCAAGCCCAGCUCCUUCAACCUCUUCUUCUCCUCCAGCUUCUGGCCAGUUUGGUGCUCCUUCACUGCACUCCCUCUAGCUUGUCCAUGUGUUUCUUGUAUGGAGGUGCCCAAAAUUUGAUGCACUGUCUAGGUGUGGUCUAAUGAGCACUGAGGUCUCUUGCCUUGACCUACUAGCUGUGCUCCUGCAACCCAGGAUGCUGUUUGUCCUUGAUGCAGUUUGUUUGUGCCUCGAUGAUCUCUUCAAUAGGACCUGUCACUGUGCUUGGGAAGCCUGAGUGUUCCUCAGUGGCCAGGAGGGAAGAGGAACUUGGAGGUGACAAAGACCUCACUGCUAAAGAUGUGGACUUCCCCGGGGAGAGGGACCAAGCGUGGACAGGUAAGGCAAUGAACUGAGUUCUGCAGAAAAAUGCAAAGAGGUGUAGAAUUAUAAUUACCACUGUCUCAUUGACUCAUCUGUGAAGCAAGUUUUCACUCGAUGAUGUGCUUCCCAUGGGGCUGUGACUGUUGAUGGCCACCGAGUGCCGAGGUCCUGCAAUACCUGUGCAAAGAGCUGCUGAACAAACACUGCUCGCUGCUGGGGGCGAAGCAUGGUUCCUGGUAGCCAUGUGUAGAGGAAUUUUUACAUAUAUAUGGAUACAUAUACCAUAUUGAAACAAAAUGCUGUGAUUUCAUUUUGUGCUGCCAACAGUUAGUGAGUUUGAAAGUGGCAACCUUAUAUUCUUUAAGAUCCAAGAGCUUUGGGAAAAGAUGCAUUUUUUAUACCGGACUAAUUUAAAAAAUGCUGUGGUUUCUUUAGUGCAGCGCGGUAGAAAUAAAAGACCAAAACGAGAGAGACAGAAGUACCCGUACAAUCAUUGUAAAGGUUUUCUACUUUUCCGAUUGUGUUCUCUUCAGGAAAUGAGACUGACUAUAUUUGGGAUAGGAAUGAAACCACACAUCAAAAGCCACUGUCGAGGUCAUGAAGUGACCACAUUGAAAAAGUACUGAAAAAUGUGUUCUAACUAGCACCUUUCCCAGCCUGUAGGAAUCCUGGCUGUGGCUUGCAAUUGUACUAGGGUGAAGAUUUGCAUUUUCAAGCUGGCGGUUUUCCUUUUUACUCUUCCACUUCCUACCAGCUAAUUCGGUGCUGUGUAAAGUGUGAAUCUGGAAUGCAAAUCAUCUCACCUGCUGGUUUUUCUUUCAUUUUUAGGUUUUCUGACUCUGGAAGCUCUCCUGAGGAGCUGCAUCAUGCGCUGUUGCCCUUGGGAUGGGAUGCGGAGCUGGGAGCCAGGAGGAACCGCAGUGUGCUGCUGCGAGUUGCUUUAGCAAGGAGAGAGGCUUCUGGCGUGUCGUAUGGUGCCGAAAACCGUUCUACCCUUGACAGCAAAAAUCCUUAUCCUUCCCGUGUUUUUUUCCAGGACAGCUGAUAUUUCCUGUCAGAGGUGUUUUGUAUGCAAAUCAAGGUGGUACAACAAAAAAAGUCCUGAAAGUAAUCACACUGAUAAACUCAGACCACUGGGGAAUUCCUACUUGUCGUUUUUUAUCUUUUCUUUUUUCAGUUGUCUACAAGAUACUUCUUUGCCUGCUCUUUAUUGCAGUCUUUAAUGUCUGUCUUGCCAGAUCUCUUGCUUAUGAACUAUAGUGUUUCUUGAAUUCUGUUAGUCUAUGUGAGUAGGUUGCACUAGGCGCUGGGAAUUGGGGUUAACAGUCCCCGUGUUUCAGCUUUGCCCUGCAUUGCUCUGGUGCUUUCUGGUGUUCAAGCUAGACAUGGGCCUCACGCUGCAGAUUGCAGUGUGCCUGUAGUGAUGCUCUACCUGGGAAAGCAAGCCCAGAAACCUUUAGGAAGCUGAGGAAAGCAAAGAGCAGAGGUGGAAAACAAAGAGAAACCAGCAAAAGUUUGCCCAGUAACUUAAACAGGAGCAGGGUUUGACCCUCCUGAGGCACCUCAAGAGAUGCUGUGCUCAACACAGCACUAAUGCAGCGGCAUGAGUUGGUCGCCUCCUCGCUCUGGCACAGCAAAGUCGCAUCUGCCCAGCCUGUGCCCUGUAGGUAUCCCCAUAAGAGCAAGGGGCUGAUCAGAGCCUUGCUCACACCAGGCUCACUCCUUGUGCUGGCAGCAGCCGCUUGCUGAUGCUACAAGUUUUGGGGUUGGAAAAAAGAACUUGUGGAAGCAAUGCAAGAAAAGGACAUGUCAGAGCAAGAGAGCUGCAGAGCUGCAUGGCCUGGAGAACGUUCCUGUGCGUGUCCAGAGAUACCCGCUGCAGCCCAGGUCUUGUUGAGUCACACUGUGGUUGCUCUGGUGUUUGUGUGGGUAACAGUGAUAAUCGUCUUGUGUGGUGUUGGGUUCUGUUAUUUGGUUUUUCUUGAAUGUAACAUCAACAGGCAAAUUGGCAUUGGUAGGGCAGUGAGCCUGGUGUGGCUUUUAUCUUCCCCAAACCUGGGGACAAAGGAGGAGAGGAAAAUGACUUGACCAGUUUGGCGGCCGUGUGCUUAACGGUACCGGAGUUCAAAGCAAAGGACACAACAGUCAGAUACCCAAACCCGCCUGGGCUUCAGCUGAUAAGUCGCAUUUCAAAGCGAAAGGCAAUCCUGAUGUGGCUCUGUUGAGUGACUGGAGCCUCCAAUGCCGAGUCUUCUUUAAAAGGGGAUUUCAUAAGGAGUAAUAUGAACAGAAAUGGCUCUUCUGUGGUUUUACGCAUUCCAGGCAUGCCAGGACUGUUCCUGUCAAGGAUGGGCAGUCUUUGGGGUUUUGGGUUCUUUUUUUUUUUUCUUUAAAAAUGUUUGCCACAAACUAGCAGCUGAAAUGGUGAAAAAUAAAUGAGAGCUGCAAAAUCAUUACAGUAGCAGUAAUGGAAACUGUGAGGCUUAUACCUAAACUGGCUGUGGGGUUUCACCCUGUCAUAUGCGCUGCUGCGCUGUUGGGAUCACAGCUUUUGCCCACUAUGACUGCUUCAGGAUGGAUGAUUUAAAAGCAGAACUUCAACUGUUGGUUACCCAGAACCUCAAAAACCAGUGCUUUAGGCUUUUUUUUUUCAGAAACUGUACCUUUUCAGCUGAACCACUAUUAAGCAUUAAUCCCUUUCGUGUCAUUGCAGUUUUGUGGACAUAACUGCAUCCUUAUGUUGUGCCAGCAACAUUAAUUUCUGCAGAUCCAUGGGAACAGAAAUAGGAUGUAGCUACUGCUGCUUCUAGUGCACUUAGUUUCAAGCAGGCUGCAUCAGGUUGAUUUGCACCUAUACACUUCAACACAAACAAGAUUUUAAUUGGUUUAAGAGUUUCUAUACAGAAAAUUAUGAUGCCUUAAACCUUAUAGUGCCUUAACUCUGCCUUAAAACAGAAGUUUCGAUACGUGGUAAAGCACUACAUAGUUUCUGUAGACCCAGCGUAUUAGAUGAGUGUUUAAUUAUUAAUAAUAAGCCUACGUGUCCUGUUCUUCUGGGUGUGUGUGCUGCUCCUGUUGCCACACUCCUGUGUGCUUGUGUAGGUAGUAGGAGCUCAUGGAUGGCUAAAAAAGCCAGUGGCUAAGAAAGCCACUCCUUGAGUCUCUCAGGAGAAUGGCUGUAAAAGUGUGUAAUUAAGUGUGGACCUCAACCUGCCCCGAGACACCCUCCAUGAACACUCAGCACCUUUAUCUGCAGCACCAGGCUGACCGCAGCCAGCUCAGCGCCUCGAGGAGCUGAAGCUUCACCGGUACCUGCUCUGCAGAUGAGAUUCAUCCCUCCGCAGGGAAGCAGGGUCUGAGCCGGGCUUAUCCCGGCAGAGGCUGAGCCAUGGGGCCAGAGAUACACACCCUGAGAAUGUGCUUUACAGCCAGGGUUUGGCCAUAGCACAAGCGCAAGCAGAGGGUGAGAGGCAGAGGGUGAGAAAGCAUCUCUUUGAAAGGGCAAUAAAAGAGACACUGUUGGAAUGAACCUUCUGGCUUGGUUUUAUUAAAUGUGAAUAUGAAUAUUUAGUGAUGAACAGGAGUAGAUCCAGGAUGUGAUGCUUGAAACCCCUUCCCACUCUCCAGCCCCCCAGGCUGAAAGAGCUGGGGUUGUGCAGCCUGGACAAGGCUCCGGAGAGACCUUAUUGUGACCUUUCAGUACUUAAAGGGGCCUGUAAGAAAGAUGGGGACAGGCUUUUUAGCAGGGCUUGUUACAGUAUGAUAAGGGGAAAUGGUUUUAAAGUAAAAGAGUGGAGAUUCAGGCUGGACAUGAGAAGGAAUUUUUUACAGUGAGGGUGGUGAAACACUGGUCUACGUAUCCCAGAGAGGUGGUAGAUGCCCCAUCCCUGGAGACAUUCAAGGCCAGGCUGGACGGGGCUCUGAGCCACCUGAUCUGGUUGAAGAUGUUCCUGCUCAUUGCAUGGAGUUGGACUGGAUGAGCUUUGAAGGUCCCUUCCACCCCAAAUUAUUUUAUGAUUCUAUGAACACAGGCUGAUGUUACAGAGAAAUCUCGAGGCCGUUGCCUGGGCUGUUGUAGGUCUGUGGGUGGCAGAACUUUAAUCACCCAGGUCGUCAUUGAGUCCUGCACUUGUGAGAUACAAAGAAGGAAGAACUGGUGUUAAUUCUGUGCUCAACAUAAAUAUUUUUCACCUGGGAGGAGUCUGGUCUUUAAGCCUUUUGGACUGCUUGCCAUUUUGGGUUAAAGUUUUCUUUACCCAAUCAGUUCUUCCAACCACAGAAAUUUGGAAACAAAAAGUCAGGAGGUGUAGUCAGCAGCGAGCUGUCUUUUUACUGGGCCUAUCUUGCAGGAGGUGGUUUUGGAGUGAAUUUUGCUCUGACCACUCAAGGUCUCUCCUGUGGAAAUACUUAUCUCUGUGCAGCUGUAGCAAGCUUUACAAGUGGCAGAAAAAAACUACUUUUUAAAAUGAAAUAGAUGUGUUUUCCUUACAAGUCACAGAGACAAAUUGUGUGUUUGAGAAGAUUUUGUUUUGAACCAAAAUAACUUUUCCACUUACAUAGAGUGGGAAAACAAGUGGACCUCGAGUUGCAUUUCAAUGUAGAUUUCAUCCAUUUGACCGCAGCAGAAGGUUACAUUGGCAUGUUCUGUUAUCCUUCUGUUGGCAUAUCCUUGCUUGAUGUUUCUUCUUCAGAAUCUCAGUUUCUCUCUUUCGAUGGUUUGAGAGUUUCGAUAGAGAUAAAUGUUUGUGUCCUUGGGAAGGCUAUGGCAAGUUAUGCAGUGGUGAAGAGAUGCUGUCAACCUGUAGAAGGGCCAGUUUUUGACAGCAUGGGAAGUGGUUAGUGCCUCAUUUGACAUCCUCACAUCAAAGCUGGACAGUAGGCUGGUCGAGAUGUUCUGUUUGAACCACAAAUUACUGGGCUUCGAGCAGAAAUCACUGGAUGAAAUUCUGUGGUCUUUGUUAGGCAGGAGGUCAGACAAAAUCAUUUAGCUGGUUACUCUCAGCUUUUAGAAUUUAUGAAUCAUAUAGUCAUGGGGUUUUUUUUAAGUUUCCGUGAAAAGCUUUCCUUGGUAGCAUGCUGCCAAUGAAACCCAUCUGUUCUCUCAUCCUUUCAUCAUACUGUGCUGCUUUUGAAUUGUCCUAGAAGGAGGAUGAAAUUGGGCUUAUUAUUUAAAUUUCAGUAUGGGUGGCAAAAGCAACUCUACCUUGAUUAUUAUGGGCCUCCCAUGACCACAGGAAUGGAUGAUGCCUAAUGCCAGCCUUCAUUUAGCAGACAUCUGAGGACCAGCUCAUCACCACGGCAUUACCAACAGUUGUCUCUGUGCCCCGUGGGAAUUGUGCAUCACGGGAUCCAGCAACAAGACAGAGAUGGCAGGGAAGGUCAUAAGGCAGCAUAUGUGAUUUAGUUAGUGUCCACUUUAUCUGCAAGCCACCAAACCUGGGGCUGCAGGAACUGGCAAGAAAGAGACACUUUAGUUGUCUGGCUGUGUAAGAGUCCCUGAACUUCAGUCCUACACAGCACCUUGAGAAAACAGGGAAAUUUGGGAAAGACCAGAGAAAUGCAAUAAUAAGAGAAGAGGAAAGGCACACUGCGCGAUUCUUUGGCUUGACAGCCUUGGCUUUUUUGUAUGGUCUAAGUCUUUCUUAGGGUCUUUCUGUGUCCACCUGUCAGGCGGUGUGUGCUUACUUGCUGAAACCCAUUCUUCCUGUUGUAAAGAUGAGUUUUCACAAAAUCACAGAGUGUCUGGAGUUGAAAGGAACCUCUGGAGGUCAUCCAGUCCAACCCACCUGCAGGUUCACCCGGAGCAGAUCACACAGGAAUGUGUCCAGGCGGGUUUGAAUGUCUCCAGAGAAGGAGACUCCACAGCCUCUCUGGGCAGCCUGUUCCAGGCUCUGGCACCCUCGAAGUAAAAAAGUUUCUCAUCAUAUGCAGAUGGAACCUCCUGUGCUUCAGUCUGUGCCCAUUGCCCCUUGUCCUAUCACUGGGCACCACUGAGAAGAGUCUGGUCCCAUCCUCUUGACAACCACCCUUGAGAUAUUUAUAAACAUUGAUGAGAUCCCCUCUCAGCUUCUCUUUUCAAACUGAACAGACCCAUCUCUCUCAGCCUUUUCUCAUGAGAAAGAUAAUCCAGAUCCCUCAUCAUCUUUGUAGCUCUCUGCUGGACUCUCUCCAGUAGUUCCUUGUCCCUCUUAAACUGGGGAGCCCUGAACUGAACACAGUACUCCAGAUGCAGCCUCACCAGGGCAGAGUAGAGGGGGCGGAACAGCCUCCCUCGACCUGCUGGUCACACUCUUCCUAAUGCACCCCAGGUACCAUUUGCCUUCCUGUCCUACAGCAAGACUUCCAUCCAGACCUCAUCAGGGCUGGGCAAUGCUGGGCAUAGUUUAAACUAUUGGGUCAAAAGGCUUUGGAUCCAUCUCAUCUUGAGGCAGUCAUCUGAAAUAGGUGGGUUGCCCUCUGGUAGUGGCUGUUUGCCUGCAGUGACUGUUGGGGAGGCCAGACAGCUGGCUGAGAUGUGGACUCCUGCACUUUGGAUGUCUGAAGCUGCAUGAGACCAACCCCCUACUCAUUGCCUGCAUGAGUGAGAAGGAGCUACUAGAACAAAACAACUAAUGAAGAUCCAUCUGACACCAUCCGAGACAAGUAUAAUAGAGAAAUUUUAAUCAGUUCUGACAAGCUGAGCGAUCCCUGGAGGUCCUGUACUGAGCCUGACCCACUUGCUGGGCCCCAGUAGUGCAGCACCGGGCACUCUGCCUUUUGAAGAGUGAAGGGACAGAGAUCUAAAAAGAGACAAGGGAGAACAGGGGAAGGGAACAAGUGGUAAGACUUUAUUAAGAACUAAUUGGUAUAUUUUGAUCAUUAUUAAAUGCAAACCCUCCUUCAGCAGCAUUUAUUUUUUUUUUUUUCCGAGCUGCACAGAAAGGAGGGAGGUGUUUGCAGAGAUUUGUUUUCAACUCGAUCAAAUGAUCAGUGGGGGUCGUAAAACACUGGCCCAGGUUGCCCAUAGAGGUGGUAGAUGCCCCAUCCCUGGAAACAUUCAAGGCCAGGCUGGAUGGGGCUCUGAGCAACCUGAUGUAGUUGAAGAUGUCCCUGCUUAUUGCAGGGGGCUGGACUAGGUGAGCUUUGAAGGUCCCUUCCAACCCAAACUGUUCCAUGAUUCUAUGAUUUCCCGGUUCCAUCCCUGCACCCCUCCCAGCUGCAUCCCUGUCUCUCUGUCUGUGCCAUGUUGGGAAAGUGGCUGUGAGCAUGUGUCCUGGGGACUGAGCUCCAGCACGAACCUGGCCCAGUGUCGGGCUGCUCCCAUCCCAGGCUGUCACCUGCUGUGUGGUGAUGGAGGGAGGGCACUUUGGGUUUAUGUAGGGCCCAUCAGUGUGGGUGAGAGCAGAUGUACAGGCGGUUGUUUCCUCUGGUCCCUGAGCUGUGGAGCCUGACGUUAGUUCGGAGGCUGAACUCAAAAAGCCUUGCUUAAAGGAAGGGUAUUUCGACUCCAGUUAGCAGCAUGGGAGCAUGGUUACAAUAUUCUCAGGGCCAAGUGAGCUCACCAACAACUCACUUGUUGGGAAGAUAGACCUUUGUCUGUGAUUCAUUCAAGAUUUUGCUAAGCCACUCUUCUCCACAGCAGCUCUGCUUUUCUGCUUGCUCACCAGGAACUUCAGCUGGGUUUGGAAAAGUCAUCCCCACAGUGACUGCCUUCUUGAAGAAUCAGCAGGAGAACUAAGUUUUAUUUACCUAAGGAAAUCAGUGCUUUUCCACUGACCUUGAUGGAUUUGGGUUGAUUUAUGCCAGCCAAAAAGCUGACCCUUCUUUCUGUCAAAGCCUGUUCCGAGCACAUGCAGGCUGUAUGGUUCAUGUUUGGUUCCUGUUCGGUUCAGAAGGGCUUACUUGGCUUUCUUCAUCAUUAUUGAAACUGUUCACUUUCUGGUGGCUUUGGCAUUCCCAGUUUUUGUCUUACAGCAGAAGCAGCAGUACUUCAUCUUCUGUGAGUCCUCAAAUAUUUUUGGUGCUUGUCAGGUGCAGGAAAGGGUGACCUCGGUAUUGCGACUGCUGAGACCUUCCUCAGAGCCAUCCUCACCCAGUGUCUAGGAAAACUGGAACAUGGGCUUGUCAUCUAUGAAAAAGGAGGGUUUUUUGAAUGGUUGAUAUGUGGGAAUAUUCCAACCUCUGCCUGUGUCUGCUUUUCUCACUGAGAGAUUGAGACAUUGUCUUUGUCUUCUUUCCUUGUUCCCAUUUUGGUGGUAGGAAACAGGCCAGCCAAGCAGCUGCAGAAAAGGUCUUAGGCAGCAAACCCAAGAGACAUGUAGGAUGCUGGUGCAGCUCCCUGGUGUCUGUAGUGAUGCUGCUGGGAGGGCCCAGCCUGGGGCGAGUGUGGCACUGACACCAUCCUACUGGCUCUCUCCUUCCUGCUUUGGAGCCUGUAACCCCAGGGUACUGAGAUGCCACAUAAACAUAAUACUGUGUCAGCUGGAUCGGCAAAGUAAACAGCACUCUCUGCUCCUAACUGGAGGGAGAUACAGCUCUGCUUUGCAUUUUGAGGGCUUCCUAGAGUUUGUGCAUAUCUCUGUAUCCAAAGCCUUGGCUCCUUCUUCCCAGUGCCUGACCACCAGGUGACAUGCAGAGGUACAAAAUCCCAGUCCCCAGCUAUGUGCAGAGAGAGAAGAGGUAUCCAGGGACCAGCCCUGGCAUCGCUCCCUGAAGCUGGUGAAAGUAUUACUGCUUCCAGCUGUCCUGACUGUCCCCUGCCUGUCCGGUUGGGUUUAUGAGCCUCUGCAGCAGAUUGGGGCUGGGAAUCAAGGGGAUAAAACACAGUUUGGGGUCUGUGAACGGUUGCAGAAACCUGGGGCGCGGGGAUGGGAGCAGGGAGGGAUAAUGUGCUAAGCCAGUGCAGGUGCUGGAUCAGUGGAGGGUGAACCAGCCCCUCACUGCCCACACUGACAGCAGGCUCCCGCGGAGCCCCGUGAUACCAACAGCAGAGACCUGGGGCAGAUUUGCUCCUGUCUUUUGGCACCUCCUCUUGCCCUGGUUGGCAGCCAUUGUUAGAUGCGUUGCCUCGUGCCAAACCUAUUCAAUGAUGCCUAAUCCUCUGCAGCCACCCAGCUCGGUGUCGUGGACUUCCUUCCAGGAGCCAGAUAUGUCAGUAGCAUUCUACAUGUGGCUUUUGAGUGGCUUGGGCAAGGCCAGGCAGCAAAGCCUGCGGCUGAGCACGUGCUGAAAUCCAACUUUCCUGAGCUCCAGGUUGGCAGCCUUUCCACCAGGAAACCUUUCGUUUAACUUCUCACCGCAGCGGUGGAUUAGGAGGGAAGUCUCCAUAUGCUCGUGCAUCUCUUCCAGCCCUUCUUCACCUCCCCACACCUCUCCCCAAAGGCACCAGCUCUCAAGGAAAAGAAAUACUAUUCAGUGUCCAGGAGAGAGCAGAAAGGAAGCUGGCACCAUUCCCCGGGGAAGAGAACGGGACAGUUUUGGACAAGGUUCAAGGCAGGUCAUGCAAGUUUGUGAACUGCUUCCUCGGGGCUCCAUCGCCAGCUCUCAUCUGUGAGAGCCUGUCAGGUGUAGGAGCAGGUUUCUGUGCCACCUCUCACUUCUCUCUCCUUCAAAGCAGGAACAAGCUGCCCUGGAACAGACCGACCUUUGGCAUAAUUAUUUCCUUCUUUUUUUUUCCCCAAAUCAGGGGCACUCGAGUGAAAACCGAGGAAAGCUAAAGCGACCUUAGCUUUUUGUCAGCUUUCCUUGUGAUGGCAAGAGCUGUUGUUCUGCUCUUGGCAUUAAGCGAGAAAUCAAUGUUACUGUGGGAGCAAACUCCCAAACAGGUGGUGAUCACACACAUAUUAACCUGAACCAGCGCAGGAGGCACCACGUCCCCCCAUGGACCCGCCGAGGGGAGCGGAGAUCUCAUCCCCCUUUGUUUGUGCUCAGAGUGCGGCUGUCCGGAGGAUGGUGCCUGAAUAGAUAAGGCUCUGGGCACAGAUGUCUGGUUUGAUUAUUCUUUUCCUUUUUGCUACAAACCAUAUGGCAGUACGGGCAGCACAGAUAGCUGGCAAUCAAAAUUCCUGGGCUCCCUCCCUGACUUCGCCACUCGCUCAUGUAAUUUGCAAAGUGGUUUUCAUGCAUCAGCAAAACUUGCUGUCUUGAACCUCCCCACCUCCUUAAAACAAGAGCUCUCCCUCAUCACUGGAGGUGCUUUGGAAAAUAGUAACCACAUCUUGCUUUGCUAUCACAAAAUUAGAUGCACUUAAUGCUUGUAAACUACUUUGGCACCAACAGAUAAAAGGCACUACAGACAAGUUACUAAUCAGUUUGAUUAAGUAAAGUGCCAAAAGUUUGCCACUGCUGGUAGAGGUUUGCAGGCUGAUCCAUCUAUAACCUGGAGGAGUAAGAUGAAUUAGGUACGAUAAGGAUUGUUUAGUUUCUAGUCGGUCAACCAGUGAAUGAGACGACUCGGUGUUUAUAUGCCAGGUCACAGAGUAAAGUUUCUUGUGAUUGGAAAUGAUUAGGCACAUUGAUUAAUGUUUCCAGUGCUCUUUGAUCAAGAGCUGCCAGUUGGAAUGAGUCUUGCUGCACAGAGACAUCCCGACUGCCUCGUAGCAAAAGUGUAGGGGGUAGAAAAUUGAAUGAAAAAAUAAUUGGGUGGUGAUGGGAAGGCUCUGCCAUAAGAUACACUGUUUUUCUGUCAACAAGACUAGGGUUGCAUUCUUUGAACCAUCAUCUUAUUCCUGGAAGUCAAGGCAGUUUGUAACUUGCAUUGUGCUUGUCAGGUUUAUUCGUUUUAAAAAGAUGUUCAGGAGACUGCCAGGUCAUCUAAACAUUCAGUACUGAUAAGGGACCUCAGGGUCUGCUAAGUUAAGAAGCAAACAUCCCAGGUUUAAGAAAAGCUUUAGAAAGUAGCACUUUCUGAGUAGUUUGUAGCUCUUGUGGAACUGUUGAUAUUUCUCUCAGCAUGGAGGUGCCAUCUCCUGCAUGCCUCCUUGUGAUGGAUGUUCUUUCUUUCAGCCAUAGGAUUUCCCAUUUUUAACCCUCAUUUAGGAUAUCCUCUUUUUAUCAUAGGUGAGAUACUUGAAAUAGUUUCCUAAGACAAGACACAGGAAGAUUUGCUUGGAUAAGAGGAAGAAUCCCCACCACUGCUUAUCAUUCCCACAUCACCACACCAUUUGUCUUCGUGAUUUUGUGUCUUUGUCAUACUUUACGUGUUAUGGUUUAACCUUGAACCAGCUGGGAGGCCAUGAACACGAUGGCAUUGCCCACUACAUUUUCUUUAUAACCAGGACUGCAGCGUUUGUCAUCUUCACUGUCACACCUGUUAUCUACACUUAAUCUUUCUGGGGCGACAUCCACUUCUGUGCAAAUUUGUGUAUAUAUCAAGAUAGAAUUUCUAAUAAGAAUCAGAAUGCCCUGGUCAGGGUAACCAGUUAGCAGGUGGUGAAUGGGCUCUGCAAAAUUUAAGGUGAAGACACUAAAACGCCUAGAUGUACCAAGGAGCUGAAUUACAGAUGUCCACACCCAAGGACAUUUAGUUCCGAAAUCACUAUCUGCUCACUGUUUUUGGACAUCCCCCAGAUCCAUCGCAAUUUGUCUCAGAAUGCUUCUGCUGCAAACCCAGGUGGUUCAGCAGUUCCAGCUGGUUUCUGCUGAGGGAAGAGGCAGGAGAUGGAGCUGCCAGGCAACCCAAGGUCCUCCCUGCUGGUCCUGGCCACCUCUGUGCUCUCAGGGAGAGGUGCAGAGCACUGGGUGAGCGCGGGAUGUCCUGACCAUUCCACAUUUCUCUUUGCUUGUGUUUGUGCUGAAAACUCCUGCUUUUAUGAAACAUGGGAAAUGGAAGAGUUCAGGAGCUGAGGAACCAGUAGGUGAAAAAUGGUGCCCAGUGAAUGCCACUGAGAGUGUAGGUUGGUAUAAGGAGGAAACUGCAAAGCUAUCAUUACCAAACUUUGCUGUUUCUUUGGGUGUACCUGCUUUUCCCAUGUUUUACUGAGCGUGAGAGCUUGCAGACACCAGAACUGAGCAGAUCCUCUUUAACAUGGGAGGCCCAUGUCCCAUCUACUACUUGAGUCAGUCACCUGUCCGGACACCUGCCCACCACCAUUUCCUAUCUCCAGGCAGGAUCUGUGCCUUCCCUGCACUCACAGCCCUGGGACCACAGCUGGUCCCCCUCCAAAGCCACUCAUCUCUGGUAGUGCAUAAACUUUGGGGUUUCUCUCUUCUGCUGAGCUAUUUUCACACAGUGAAUCAAAAUCUCAUCAUCUUUCAGUUCUCUGACAUGUUUGACUCCUUUCAGCCAAUGUAUUCAGCAGAGGGAGGGUGGACAGACAGUGAUCUGGACUUGUUGUGUGAGAAACCAGUAUAAAUAUGUGCAUAAGUGUGUUUCCUGCUUUUGUGAAGUUGUGCUUCAUGCCUGUUUUGAAGUCUACAUUGUCUUCCUGUGCAUGGCCUGAAACAGUUAAUAUCAAUGUAAUUGCAGAUCAUUUUCACAAAAAUAGGUGCCUACUCUGCCUGUUUUCUAAUUUCCACAUGGCUCCACAGUGGCUGCUUGUCUGCUGCCUGCCCAACUACUAACGCUCCUGCUUUCCAUCCUGGCGUGUGUGGCUGCCCCGGCGCGUUGCUGGGACAGGGAGCAGUGACGUUGGGUCUUCUGGAAGCCUGCAGAUGGGGCCAAGCAAAACACAGCUGGGCAUCACCCCAAGUACCUCAAGACUGCUGCGCCAAACGGGUUCCCGUUGUCUCAGACAUCUCAUUGUAAUUAACAGCAACAGAGGUGUCUGCAUCACUCUCAUUUACGGCAAGCUGGGAGCUGAGGCCAGGAAAGGGAGGAGUUUGGGAUUAGACAUGUCUCCAGCUCCUCAGGGUAGGAAUCACUGCUUAUCUGAAACAAUUUUGGAGAGGUAUUUUAUCCAAAGCAAUUUUGGAGAAGUAUUUCAGGUGCGGCAUCCACGAUGGAGAUGAUUCACACCGGUGGAAGCCACCCAAAGGUGUGCCACAGCGCUUGGUGGCCCCAGCGCCUCCCCAGCCGCACGCCAUGGUGCUGUUCUAGAUCACUGCCAUCCCGCUGGCUGCUGCACUUGCCGGCUGUCUCCCACCAGAGCUGCCCCUCCUUUCCUUCUGGCAGGAAAGCGAUGGUGUGAGUGACAAACCCACCCUCCUUGUUGUGUCCAUCUCGCUGUGGAUCCUAGCAGGGCAACAGUGGAUGGGAUGGAGAGUUUAAAUAUGCCCAGCAAAAAUUACACUCAAUCAUUCACCUUGUUAUUGCUACCAUGGUUAACUCUUUGGUUGCUGGCCCUGGAGUAGCUUAUCUGCAAGGCUCUGUUCAUUUCUUGGGCUCAUAGCUCAAGCCAUCACAAGGGGCUUCUGGUAAGCUGAGACUUUUGGCUGCUGCCAGCUUUGCCUUUGCCAGUUACAGUCGCCUUUGUUUCCUUGCUUUCAUGGGAGUUUGCUGCUCCCACUGGGAGGCUGGACCAUGCAUGCCAGCUCAUGUCCAGGAGGUGGAAAGGCAGGGCUUGUGCUUUGGGCUGGCACAUGAUGUGGAGCAUGAAACAAGUCAGUAGUCAGGGGAAGCAUUGGGCAGCGAGAAGCAUGAGACUCUCUGCCCCUCCGGGCAGGGUUGGACUGGGCAGAAACCUGGCAAGGAGGAUGUCUGCCAGGUGUGCAGGUUAGGGUGCAACUCAGGCCAUUAAGAGUCUGGAUAUGUGGGGGCUGGAGCUGCUGUCUGAGCUAGUGAGAGAUCUUUAACUGUUUGUGUCUUGGACACUCACAGAAAACAAAUACUGUUAGAAUCAUAGAAUGAUUUCAGCUGGAAAAGACUCUCAGGAUCAUCAAGUCCAACCAUAACCUAACUUAACUCUAGCACUAAACCAUGUCCCUAAGAACCUUGUCUAAACACCCUUUAAACGCCUCCAGGGAUGGUGACUCCACCACUGCCCUGGGCAGCCUGUUCCAAUGCCUGACAACCCUUUCUGUGAAUAAUUUUUUCCUAAUAUCCAAUCUAAGCCUCCCCUGGUGCAACUUGAGGCCACUUCCUCUUGUCCUAUCACUUGCUAUUUGGGAGAAGAGACCAACACCCUCCAUGCUACAACCUCCUUUCAGGUAGUUGUAGACAGUGAUAAGGUGUCCCCUCAGCCUCUUUUUCUCAAGGCUAAAUAGCCCCAGCUCCCUCAACCACUCCUCAUAAGCUCCUCAUAAUCCUUACUGUUUUCUGCUGCAAAGUGGAAAAGCUCAGGGCAAUUUUUCCAUGAACAUAAAUAUACAGCAAAGUGUAUACUAAGAAGAAAUGGAAAGGACUCACAGAAGCACUGACAAGCCUAUUUGGAAAGGACCUAUUGAGACCAUCUGGUCCAACUUUCUUAUGAAAGCAGGACCUUAGAUUAGGUUAUUCAAGGCCCAGUCAAGCCAAGUCUUCAACAUUUCUAGUGAGGAAGAUUCCACUCUCUUCAGGCAAUUGAUCCUACUCUUCAGUUGCUCUCACACAAAGAUUUUUUUAAGAUGCAAGUGGAACUUCCCUUGAAGACACUUGUUCCUAUGGCUUUUUCUCCUGUUACAGUGCACCCUUGUGAAGGAUGUGUCUUCUCCACAACUGCCUUUUGGUUGUUGGAAGGCAGUGAUUUGUUUUCCCCACCCUAAGCCUUUCCUUCUCAAGGCUAAGCAAGCACAAAUCAUUCAGUUGUGAAGUUCUCUAGACCCUAAUCUUGCUGAUACUCUCUGGACCAUCUCCAGGCUUUUAGCAUCUCUCUCGAACUGUGGCGGGGAAAACUGGACAGUGUGUUCCAGGUGUGGCCUAACAGGUGCCGAGCAGAGUAGGAAAAUCACAUCCCUUCAUCUACCAGCAAUAGUCUUACUAAUUCAGCCGUGGAUGCUUCUGGCCUUCGUUGCUGCCAGGGUAUGUAGCUGGCUCGUGUUUGGUUUGUUGUCUGCCAAGACACCCUGUGCCUUUUCAGUAGAGCAACUGUCCAGCAGCCAGUGCCCAGCUGGUGUUACUGCUUGGGAUUAUUCCAUUCAGGUUCAGGACUUGACAUCUAUCUCUGCUGAAACUCUUGUUAAACCUCAUUCUUGUUGGCCAAAUCUCAACAGCCUGUUAAGAUCUUUCUAUAUGGUGUCUUUUUCUUUAAGCCCAUCUAACUCCUCUCCCAGCUUAGGCUCAUUCUUAACUUUGGUAAGGGUGCGUUCGGUCCUACCUUCCAGGUCAUUUGUAAAGCUGACUUGCAUUGACUCCAGAGGAACUUUAUUUAUGACCAGCUGCCAGCAUAACCUUGAGCCUUUAACCACCGCCCUCUGAGCUCAGCAGUUUAGUCAGUUUUUCAACCAUUUUAAGUUUCAUCUGUUCAGCCCAUAUCUUAAUGACUUGUCAAAAUGGAUUUUGAGGGAGUCUGUGUCAAACACCUUGCUAAAAUCAAGGUAGAUGAUAUCCUUAGAUUUCCCCUCAUCCACUGAGCAAGAUGUUUAGUCAAGCAUGAUUUACCGUUCAGUAUAUCCAUGUUGGCUUUUCACAGUCAGCUUCUUGUCAUUUGAGUGCCUGGAAAUACCUUUUGUAAGGACGCAUUCCACAGUGCUCCCAGGGACUGAAACAAGGUUGACUGGUCUGCAGUUUCCCGGAUGUUAUUUUUUUGACCUUUUUGUAGAUGAACACAAUAUUUGUUCACCAGUCUUCAGACUAGAAGACCUCUCUCCACAGAAAGCUGUUUAGUCCUUGUGUUUCAGCUUCCCUGUAUGGGGGAAUAAUUUGGUUGAUAUCAGACAAAUUGCUUAAAGGACUGUGAAUGACAACAUGAAAAGGAUGAAAGGUCCUUGUGUGUAUUGUUACCUGUCCAAAUUAGUUAAAACAGGACGAAUUCUGGGCUGUACAUGACAGUGGUCCAUGUUAACAUCUAGUCAUGACCUAAAUUCCGGAGAUGCUCUUGUUCAUGGUGGAAUAAUCCUGUCUGUAGAUCUAGGUGAAGUAAAGUCCGGUUCUGUAUAGCGUAAGCAAUUAUUCUUGCAAGUUUUAUUUAGCAGGGACCAGUCUUUGGUCUAGCGUGCAUUCAGCAGUCAAGAUUUUGGCCUCUUUGCUCAUACCUGGAAGCCAGGUCUCUCCAAGAAGGAGGGAAUUUGGUUUCAUGGGACUAUUGUGACAUUGAAUGCUGAUGUCUGGAACCAUGAUGGGGGUCAUAAGCUGGAGAUGGCAGCUCCUCAGAGGUAGCUAGAGUUCUUUUAGAGGUCAAUUACCAACUGAAUUAUUAGCUGUUUGCACAGCCCAGUGUUGUAAGUAUGGGGCCUAGUUUUGGAGUGAUGUUGAUAUCAAUCAUUACAGGUAUCAAUAUGUGUUUAGUCAAUGCCGUUACUCGGCACAAUUACACCGGCUGUACAGGAGCAUUCACUCUCAGACCUGUAUGUUCCUUUCAUGUUGCAGAACAAGCUAUGCAUCUUUAGCCCAGACUUUCCAGAUUUGAAAUACCAGGAGUUAUCCAAUGUUAAUGUAGCAGAUGCAUUGGAAACUGCUGGUUUUACAUUUUGAUAAUGACCACAUUGACUAAGAAAUAGCCUGUGCUCUCCACUGCCAAAGGAUGGGUUUUUCUGCUCCAGCUGACCAAGUGACCAUGUCCUUCAUAUAUCAGCUGUUGGUGGCUCAUAAUCUGGCUUCCAAGAACAAGAGGAGAAUAGCAAGGGAGUGAGAAUAGCUGGAUGGCAAAUUGUAGAAAGGCCAAGAAUGUUCACCCAAAGCCUCUGAACAGUACUGCCUUCCUAGCAGUGAUUUACCAAUGCACAACUGCACGUGAGUGCACUUCUUCCACACCUGUGGAUUCAAAUUUUAAGGUGUAAUUGUAAUUACAAUUGUAAUUGUAAGGCAAUUGACAUGACAUUGCUUAACACUGUUAUUAAUAUUCACAGAGCAAGUAGCUAUGUGCUGUGUCAGGUUUCUUAAAUCUUUGCUAAUGAACCAUAUCCUCAAGCCAUCCCUCUAGCAGAGUGGAAACCUGGCAUCCACCCAGGCUCUGUUAGUACAAACCCCAAGUUAUUUCAAGAUGGCAAGAUGGAAAGUGUGCUUUUUUUCCUCCCUUUUUUCUGAUCUUUUUGUUGUUGGUGGUGGUGGUGGUUUUGUUUUUUCCAACAGAAUUACCUAUUUCUGGUCUGGCUGGAAAGGGUCAAUAGAAAACAAGAUACCACUGAAACAUGUUAUUGCUGCACCAGUGGUCAGUAUUACAUGUCUAUACUUUAAUAGUCAGCUGAGUUUAAAUAAAUAUGCAGAACUCCUGUUUUUUUGUCGAGUAAAAAGUGACAACUGUUUGCACUGGUGUUUCCAUCGUGCUGUGGGCUGCCUGCUGGGCUUGCAGAGGUGGAACUGUUCGGGGUGUCUUUUGCUUGAAACACUUUAUCGAGGCUCCCCAUGAGCCCUCCCUCCGUCUGGCUGCUUACAGGUUUUCAAUGAAAGGCCCUGUUCACACAUGUGGCAACUCGAAUUAUCUCUAAAUAAACUAGUAUAUGUGGAGAGUAAUUCAUGAGCACUUCCAGCACGAUGAUAAAUGGCAGGCAGGGCUGGCGGGUACAAGGUGGCCCCUCAGGGAUGUGUCUCCAUCGAGUUGUGCAAAGAUACUGUAGAAGGGUCUAGAAACGUGACCUUAAAAGAAGAGCUGUGUGUUUUAGACCUUUAUAGAGCAGGCUGUAAGUGACAGACACAAAGUUUUUUGAUCUGUCACCUCUUGUCUAAUAUUGUGUGUCCAGAACUUGACAGAUAUUUCGAUUUUUAACCCCAGUUGCUCCCUGUGUGACUAUCAAUCUGUUUUCUGAAAGACAACAGUCAUCUUAGCCCUUAAAAGACACCUUAACCAGUCAGUUCUGAUAAAUAACAGCAAAUUCUAAGAACUUAUGUACUGUUCUGCUAUUCUCCAGCACUUGCUGACAUGAUUCUUGAACUGCAGUUGAGCUUUGGCUUAACAGAAGCCAUUCUUCUGCAGUGACCAAGAGAGAGCAGAAGAACCCACAAAUACAAGAACCUUAGGAGAUUGUGACCAGGUUUAUCCCAACAGGUUAAACAGGGUCAGGGCACAGCCGUGAGCACUGGUGUGUACCUGUCUAUAUUGUAAGCUGUUAGCACGGCUCCAGCCCACGCAGCUUCCCCAGACAAUGCCCGGGUACUGUCUGGGGACUCGCACUGGCCAGGGGCCAUCUCCAGCAGUAAUUUGGCUGCAGGCACCUUGUUCUGAGGAGGUAAAAGGGCUUAGCUGUCUGCACACAAGCUGCUGGGCAAUUGGCUUCAGUGCCAAGGAACAGUGCCUGUCUUGUCUUAUUUACAUGUAUGGACAAGACGAAGGUUUUGGGAUACAGGAGCCUCAGUGGUGAGAUGCAACAUAUGUGAAUUUUGCAAUUCUGGAUGCAACUUUGAAAUCCGUAUUUCUGUUGAGCUUUCAGGCACUGCUUUCAGAUACUAUCUCUCUUGAAAACUCUGCACUUGCUGAGUAUCUAUUAUUGCUCCCAUAUGGCAAGGAAAGGACUGAACCCUUCAUCUUUAGAUAGCAGACAUAAAAUAAUGUGAAAGAAAUGUGAAAUGACUGGGAGGGAGUUUUUUCCUGGUCUACAGAGAAACUAUAGGAGAUUCAUAGACUGCUGCUGACACGAUUAAAAAGCACACUGUAUCUCCCUGUUUGUGAGGAAAGGGAGAAGAAACAGAAGAAAAUACAGCUCAAAAACAUGGGACUAUAAAACAAAUGCUAGAAAAUCUGUACAGGGUCUUGUCACAUAAUAAUGUCCAGGCUUUGUCUUCAGACAUCUGUACUAGAGUCUACUUUUUUAUUAGGCAUAAAUUCAUAGUAACAGGCAGCCAUUGUAGUCAAACUGGUCAUAACUGUAGUUCCUGUUGAAAAAAUGAGUCUUUUUCUGCCCUUAAAAUCCCAGGUGAAAUUGAUAAAAAUAAAUAAGUAGUUUUGCCUGUAAGGAAUUAUGUUCCUGGGCAAAAACCUAUUCUGUGAUCUGAAUCAAUGCUGCAAAGCUCACCCUGUAUAAACCAUUAGUCCUGAAAUCCAGCACAGCUGAAUUAUAGAUGAAAUGUAUUUUGGUCCAUUACGUCAAUGUGUUGCUUGUACUGAGGAACCCAAAACUGGAUGCAAUGCUCCCGAUGCAGUCUCACGAGUGUCAGAUAAAUGGGAAUUAUUACUUCUUUCAACUUACACGGUUCUCUUGUCACAGAAAAUAUCCUGGUUAGUCAAGCAAGAGAUCAACAGCAUUCUGUUUGUCUACACUGAUCUGUUAGAGGUUACUUCAGAGGAGCUGGCAUGUCUCUGGCUAAUGCACUAAGGCUAGAAGUGUGUCUGACUUGAAAAGCAGAAGGUGGGCCCUUGUCCUGUUCGUACACGUUGGUGUAUCUGCAUGACCUGUUAAAUGGAGUCCCAUGAGCAUAGGUCAUAUGGUCAAGACCAAGCUUGUGACAAGAUCUAAAGACAGCAGGGAUUUCUUUGGUGUCUCAGAAGGCAUAGGGUGUGGGAUGGUUCUUUCUCAGUCCUGAAUGUUCUUCGUACAUGAUUCUGUACCCAUCCAGUCUUUUGUAUCUUCUGCUUUUUAACAAAACUGACCUUGAAGGAACGGACAUGAUACUUGACUUGGGCAUCUUGCUGUAGCUGAACUGCUCUAGCUAGUGGAGCUGCACAAGGAUUUACAACAUGUUUAUGCUAAACUGAAGAACCAUGUGGAUAAAUUAGUAGCCCUAAAGUGCUGAA